rnacentral:lncRNA from 1 species
UUUUGGUAGAAGGAUGUCCUUGCAUAUCAAAAAGUUUUAUUAGACUAAUUAUAACAAUCUAUUUCACAUGUGGCUACAUCUAUGAGUACUUAUUUCAAGUAACCUAUUUGUUUAAGAACCCGAAAGGGCUUCAGAUACUUCUCUGAUGCCGCCGGCAUACUCUGAUGAAUAAUGAUCUUUUUGACUUGAUGAUGGAUGGUUAAAUAAAAGUAUAUGAUGUUGGAUAUUACUGCAUGGAUUGAUGACUAUGCUAUUGUAAUAGCUUGUUGUGUUUGAUGAAUACUUGUUAAUAUAUACUAUGUAGAUGCUAACAUACAUACAUAAAUAAAUAAAUAUUGUUGCCUCCUCGAUGUAUUGUAUCGCAUUUUUUUCAAGAUUUGUUGUAUUUUUGUAUCCAUAUCAUGUCUUGUUCUUGUCUCUUAUUCAUGUGAAUAAGUGCUUCAUAGAUAUGGAAUAUGUUCAAAUGCCACUUUUUAUCAGGUUAUGUCCUAACCUAUGUCUACAUCGCACUAUGCAACCCCAUAUUGUGCUAGAAGCCCUUUACCAACAUAUCAAUUCUUGUCCUUCUUUCUUAUGGGGGUAAACUGGCGGGCUCAGAUUAAUAUAGAUUAAUAAUACAAACUUUUGAAACUUUCUAUCCUUUAGUUGCUAUGUAUUUUAGUUACUGUUUGUUUGCUUCUAUAUUCACAUAUAGGUAAUGUGGUGUAUCAUAUAAGUUGUUUCUGCAUGAAUAGUAUUGAGAACUUAACUAGGUUAAACGCUGAACUUGUAGUCUAGACAAAAGCCUCAGAAAUCAAGGAUUUCGAAAUUAAUAGGACGAAAUAGUAUAAUGAAUGACGUAAAGUGGAGAUAGGAGUGAAAUCGAGUUUUUGUUUGAAGUUGAUGGGCAUAAUCAUCCAAAACGGUGCUAUUCAUUUGGGCAUAAUGAUCCAAGAUUGAACUUUUGAAGGCAAAUGAAAACAAUCAAUGUACACCUUAAUCAAGUUUCCAACUCUUGGUUUAUUCCACUAUCACCUUGCACUUAACCUCAAACAUACUGUAAUUCAGCCUUUAUAGAAAAGAGUAGUCCAAGUCUCUAGUACCACCUCUUACUCUAGCAUUCAACUCCCAGAAUGUUCAAAAACGCCAGCAAGGUCUGAUUCUGGCUUUGUUUAGCAAAUUUAGUUCUUCUUGUAGGUCCAUAAUGCAGUUACUUCCCAUUGAUUUUGCUUUCAUUGUGCAAGCAAGGAGGAUAUAAAUUGAGAAAAGCUCAAGUGACCAAACCUUGACUACUGGAAGAAAGGACAAUGUUGGUUACAUCACCUUAUGUUUUUACUUUGAGCAUCAAAGCUGCUCGAGAGCUUGUGAAGGCACUUAAGUUUGAUGACUCUAGGACAAACUGGGACUAACCCUUGUGUUUGCACCCAUCCUAAACUCAAGAGGAGGUUAUAGAUUUGAAACUUGAGAGAUGCUUUCCAAAUAUUUAAGUUAGGAUUUCCUAAGGUGGCAGUUCGACUAUUAUUUACAAAAAGAAAGGACCACUCUAGCAAUCUUUCUGCUCAUAUGCUCUCCACCUCUUCUUUGCUAAUUGCCAACUGUGGCUUCUUUCCAUAAACUUCUUCCUUCAUCUGCUUAUAUCCCUUGUCAUGUUCUUAUAUCGACUAGCUCUUUCACAACAGAGUGGCUGUAGUCAUUCAUCAUCUCCUCCGAAUUAUGUGGAGAAUCCAGCCUUUUUAAACAUGGCUGAAUUUUGCUGAAUUUCAGUUAGAAACCUCUGGCUUUAAAAGAAAUGGUUUAAAGGCUGAGUCCUCAUGAAUUGCCGAAUUCUUUUAAACUGGAUGAUGUGCAACCAUCUGAGUCAAGAGACAACCAAAGUCACCCUAACCUUCUUCCCACAUCCCUACUGAUAUUUGCUUCAUAACCAGAGCUAGCUAUCUGUUCUUGUCAGUAAGGAGGUGUCACGCUAAUUUUUCCACAUUGAAAACAAUCAUUGUCCUGUUCCAAACAGCUUGCUUGAAAAGGAUAUACACUCUUGGCUUCUAGAGGUGUCAAACUUGAUAAUUAGCUUUCCAUAACAUUAUGCAUACGAUGAAAGUCACCAGCACGUAAAUCUAAAUCUGAAGGAAUCUUCAUGUUCUCUUCAAGCUUCCAAAAUCUUAAUGAAUUCUAAUAGGCUAAGAAUAUAUUCUAUUACUUAAUAUAAUAGGGUUUUAUCAGUAUUAUGGAUUGAUAGAAUAUCUAACAGAAUGUAGAACAUUUUGGACAAUAUCCUGUUAUCUGUAUGCUAUAUUAUAUGUGAUAUUGUCUCUUAGCAAGUCUCAGUAUGAUGAUUAUACUAGUUUUCAACAGUUUGAAUUGAUUGACGCUAGUUGAUUUUCUGUUACAAUAGAUAGAGGAAACAAAAGAUAGCCAAUAGCUGUUUCAACAUCUGCAAUAAGAAAGCAUCUCCUUUCAAAUUGCCUUUCACGAAUAUAUCUUGUAUCUGCUCAUGGCAUCCAUCUUAGGGCUCGUUUGGUUCGCGGGAAAAGAAGGGGGGGAAGUAUGGUCAACGGAAAAGUAAUGAGAUGCCUUUUGUUUGGUUGGAGUUUUCAAAGGAGAGAAAUGGAAAAGUUGUAUUCCCAUGGGAAUAUGAUUUCUACAUUUCAUGGAAAAGUCUUUUCUAUGAGAAACAUGAAAAAGUUAUUUUCUCAUGAGCCAGGAAUAACUCCAUUUUUAUUUUUUUUUCAAAAAGGCCCUUCAACGUUAAAGAGGCAUUAAAGACCUAAAUUUUGUUAAGAGUAUAAUAGGAAUUACACAUAACUUUUUUAGGAAAGUGGAUGGUCAACCAAACAUAAGUACUUUGAAAAUCUAUCACUUUUCCAUGGUCAACCAAACAUGCCAAAAGUACUUUUUCAGGCAUCCUUUUUCUAGAAAUCUGCUUUCCAGGAAUCUUAUUUCUAGAAGAAAAAAUGCUUUCCGCAAACCAAACGAGCCCAGUUCUCAAAGACCUUUUGCUAGAGCCUCCUACCGAGCAGGAACCCAGAAAAUACAGACACCUUCUACAUAGACUUACCUAAGAAGUUAAGAACAAACUCAAAUGAUUCAUUUUCAAGUGACUACAUACAUGAUAUGGUUUUCAUGGAUUGAGGUUACUUUCUCUAGUCUUCACCACCUGUACAUGCUUGGUUACUGAACGGGAUUGUGUACUUGCUCUAUUCUUCAGCCUGAGAUUUCCAAGAUUUAAUGAUAACCUUUUGAAGGGAAAAAGUGGUUGGCUUCUAUUCAAGUCCAUGUAUCCUACAUGUCUCUGAAGAUAUCCAAGCUAGCAUUUGCAGAAGGGCAUCAUCAUCACUAUCUCAAAGAUGGAUCUUGGAGGAUCAAAUAAUCAUGAUCCACAUCUUUAAUGAUUAUCUGCAUCAUUUAUUAUGGCUAGAACUAAACAAAUUGUUUCGUUACUUCUAAUCUCUGUGAUUUCAGAAAAUAAGCUUCCUUCUGUCACAUGGCAAAAUAAUUUAGUUUAUUUUAAUUUGGAUCUAUUAGAUAUAAUUAAGUUUUGGGAUGUGAGUUUUAAGAUCUACAGAUUGUGAUCGACAACGUAUAUUCUCAUUUCAUAUGAACCAUUGUAGACUUUACAACCCUAGCCAUGCCAAUAUCAACCAUGUUGUGUACAAUUAAUGCAUAGGUAAGAGAACUUCAAGAUAUCAGAAUUUUGAUUUGCUAAGUGUUCCAGAUGUUAUUUAGAUGGUUGCAAGAUGAAUGGUUUAUUUGAAAAUAAGAAAAAAGGUUUGUUUUGAUCCAUACAUAUAUGGUAGCCAAAGCACUUGAAUUUUUAUUAACUUGUGCAUGAUAUAAAAAGAUAGCAGGAAUAGUUUGUAACACCAAUUUGGAUACCCAUACACUUCUGAUGCUACUUGGGCCUCAAGUAACAUCAAAGUUGUCCAAUACAAAUUAAUUUAAAUGUUUCUAUUUUAUGUAUAUUCGCUACAACACCUAUUUUUUCGAAAGUUUUUUCUUAAAGAAAAAGUUUAUCAUGAUCUGGUUAUGAAUCGAAACAGAGUAGGAUAUAAUUUAUAUUGAUUUGUAACUAAUCAAAGUUGCUGUUUGAUAUAAUUGAAAUCAUUAUGCAGUCAUCGGUCAUGAAUUAUGAUUGCUAUAACUCAGAAGUCUGUCUUACAAUGAUAAAUUCUUUUCCAAUUGUUGAUUCCUUUUCUUAAUGUUCUUAUUAGAUCAUGUGUAGUUGUCAAGCUGUUUGACCAUUGAUCUUGUAUAAUUUUGAUUUGUAUAAUCCAUGCAGAAGGGAAGUACCUCAUCAUCCCUUGUGAAGGUCCCCACCUUGAUUUUUACUCAUCUACCCUUGCAAAGCAUUUCCUCAAUAUUCCCACCUGAAGCACCGCUAUCCUUGAAGUAAGUAGUAAUAUUUUCUGUUUAUGUCAAUGGUGAGAAUUUGAGACAAUAAUAUUUCUUAUCAAUCAUUAGCAAUGUUUUUAUGCGACAUACAAUUGUCGUCAAAUUGCAACUCUAACUCUCUUGCAUGUACGCCACCUGCAUAUAAAUUAGAGUCCAAUGCACUUGAAAAGGGGAGACUCACAGAAGUUGAUCAAGGUUCCAUAUUAUUUUUGCAGAAUUCGAAUUUCGAGGGUGUUGAAUUUUUCAAUCCAUAUACAAGAGGAGUUGUCAGAUGAACAUCCAACAACUGAAUGGUCAGGUUCUUUCUAAAGAGGUUGCUUAUGAGAUUAGGAAGUGGUAUCUAGCUAAACUUUUCAAAUGUAAGCAUCACAUAAUUGCCAGUAACAGCAGUUAAUUUUAUGUUUUAGCUGGAGCUUUCACAACACCACAAUCAAAGUUGGAUUUCAUUAUAAUGCUUAUCUGUAUUCAUACUAAUCCAAGAGGAGGAAUUUGCGUAAUGAUUCGUAAAAAUGGUCACUGGAUGAGAGUCAACCUUCCGUAUGGGGAUGUGAGCAUGAACAGCUUAUACUGCAUGAUGACAAGAUAUAUUGAUAAGUUGUUAAAGCGGAUUAUAUGUUAUACUACUAGAUUAAGAUAUAAGAUUACAACUCUUUAUCUCUACAAAUUUUAAGUGACGUAGAAAAUCAAGAGAUAACAUCGAAUAUUGAGCAGUUAAUGUUUGAAUGGAUUCCUGCAAAAUCCUAUCCCUAGUUGAAUUUCUUGGUGCUAACUUUUAAUCUCCAGCGCUAAGAAAUUCAACCGGCGGUAAGAUUUUGUAGGAAUCUAUUCAAACAUUGACUGCUCGAUAUUCAAUAUUAUCUCUAGAUUGUCUGCAUUACUUAAAACUUGUACAGAUGAAGAGUUGCAUUCUCAUAUUUUAAUCUCGUAUUAUGACAUAUAAUCUGCUUUGAUUACUUAUCCACAUAUCUUGUCAUCAUGUAUAAUUAAGCUGUUCAUGCCCACAUCCUCAUACAGAAGGUUAGCUCUCGUCUUGAUCAUUUUCAUGUACUUAUUACAUGAAUCCCUUUUAUUUGAUCAGUAUGAUUGUAGAUAAGUACCAUAAUGGAAUCCAGCUCUAAUGGCGGUAUUGUAAAAGCUCCUGUUAAAACAUAAUACUGGUUGCUAUUAACAGAUAUCAGUAAUUGUGUGGCUCUUGCAUUUCAAAGAUUUAGAAAAUAAAUAUCGUUUGUUGAUCUCAUAAGCAACCACUAAAUCUAGUGUGUCCGGCCGUGCCAUCUACAUCAACAACGAAGACCAUUGGAUCUCAAUGCAUAUGAUCUGCCCUGGAGAUGAAGCUUGGAAGGUGUAUGCCUUUAAGAAGCAUGAGCGAUUUACUUCUAUAAGUGCUAUGACUUUAGUCGGCAUGCAGGUUCUGUGCAUUGAUUGUAAGAAAGGGAGGUUUGUCACUCUUGAUCUGCUAGAAAAGAGUUGGAUGUUCUUCUCACAUCACCAUAACCUUAUAGGUGGUUCGAAAAACAUUGUCGAAGGUGAAGGGGAAAUUGUGAGGGUCUAUUUUGUGUCUCCAUGCUUCAGCUCUUUAAAAUUCUCUGAACUGAAUAUCUGGAUGAUCUUGAGUUGGAGAAAACCAGUUGUUGCUCAUUUUGCAUGGAGGAACAGGGGAAGGAAGGUUUCCACUUUAAGACCGAAUGAAUAUUGGGAGCCAAGAUGUCUGGACCUUGAGGCAGCAAAACGGAAGAGAUUCAUCUGGGAAGAACCAACUGAUCCUGAUAUGGAGUCAAAUGUCUAUAUCCACAACUUGGCGGAUGGCAGCUAUGAAAGUCUACCGCCAAAUUCAUUCCCUGCUAAGCGCGUGGCAUGGAUCUUGUCAGCUAACAAAGAACUCUUUCUCAAUCUGUGGGCCAUCAGCUCUUUCUGUUUGCAUGGUCAUUCUAUGUAAAAAGUCAUUGACCUAGAUUGUGGUGUUUUAGGGGCUUUUGCCUAAACAGAUGCGAGUAUGGAGGGGGAUGUGACACAUGACACAUUGCUCUCUAUCUUGCAAUCCAACUGAUCAAAUAGAUUUCAGGAUCGCGUUUUGGCAUUUUGUUUCAUUUGGCCGACCGUUUUCUACAUUUCUAACUGGUUCGCAUUUAUACAUUUGAUGAUGCGCUGCAUCGCAUGAACUGAUGCAUUUUAUUGAGACGUGUGGGACUUUGUGUCCACGCAUUUAUCUGCCUUCAAAUUUUUUGUCGUCCGCAGUGUUGUCUUGUUGCUAGUUUAACCAUGCCGUGCUGUGAUUGUCAAGCAAGGUUUUUUGAGAAUGUUUCCAUCGCUUAAGAUUUUUUCAGCACCACAAGGCAAUGGACUGCACUUGUUGGCUCAUCGAGCCGUCUACUCCUCUGUCUUGGCCCAUGGAUGGAUGCCCCUCACGAAAGCAGAGUCUUAGAUGAAGAUCAUUAAGCAAAAAGAAAAGAAAACUUAGCAGCCCCUCAUGGGAGUUGAAGUAAUUAAAGGAAAAAAAGCUAUCAGCAUGCAAAUAUUUGGAUGGAUGGCAAUUCUUAAAUUGUUGUUACCUGGAUCAAGCCGACCGAAAAGAGGGAGCACAAUAUUAUUCACAUAGUGUUUCUCAUAUAGCAUAGGUUAUGAACAAGUUUCCUCUUGAUGUUUACUUUCAUUUUGCUGAAUGAAAGCUACGAGGCAUCGGCCUAAUUUUCUCCUGAAAACACGUUUUUGCAAGAUAUCACAUUUCUUGAAUUAAAAUUUCAUAUGAAGAACAAAGAGAUUAUGAGUGGGAUAUGAAGUCCUGCUCACCUUUUAUGUUCCAUCAAAUGCUCAAGUUUUGCCUAGAUCCCAAGACAUCUGGAACUGCAGUUCUGUUCUCCAAAGAAUCCACAGGUAUAAUGUUUCAUUUGCUGGAUAUCCAAUAUAGAGUCCCUGAGAGAGCAUAUUAUUGAAACCCUUAGUUCUGUCUUCGUAUGUGCGUUUCUAACUAUUCCAUGUUUCGUUCCAAAUGUCGAUUUGAUGUGAGUGGAAGGAAGAAUGCAUGAAGCACGGCAAAGGAAAAUGGACAGAUCACCCCUCGAUCUAUACAUUUUUCCUUCCACUUGCAUCAAAUCUACGUUCCAAAUCCACCAAGAGUGGAAGGUUCCGUAUAGAUUUUAUGGUUAUUACUGCUAGUUAUGCUGCUUUUUUAGUACAACAGCGGCUCACACGUGACAGAUGUGAGUGCAGCUAACAAAAUUAGAAAAAAGAAAAUAGAACAGAGGAUAAGGUACAAACAUGUGGUCUUCUUAGGUGAAGCCUUCAGAAUGGUGAGCCCCAAAGGAGGCCGCCUAGUCAGCAGCACUAUUCGUCUCCAUGUAGACAUAUGUGGCCCGAUAGAAACCACACUCAUCUAAGAGCCUGUAGAUGUCGAGGAGCAGCGGCCUAGAACCAGUGGUACGACCCCGACCCCGGAUCUACUCGAUCAUUGUGGCCAAGUCUCUCUCGAGGAGGAUACAGUCCGCACCCAGCAUAUACCUCGCAUAGGUGAUGCCCUUUCAUGCAACUCUAAGCUCAACACUGAUUAUAGAUUUGUCGAAGAUUUGCCGGCCCCUAGCCACUAUCAGUCUGGCAUCAUGGUCUCUGAUGACGAAUCCUAUACCUUCACUGCUUCCUCUCUCGCCAACACACUUCCUAAUUAUGCUGCUUUCCUUUCGUGGUUGUGGGCAAACUUAUCAAAGCAAUUUCUAGAGGUGCUUGAAAGUUCUGUAAAAUUCAUUAAUAGCUAUAGAGACAGGAAUGAUUUUAGAUGUCUAGUAGAGCUUCAACUUGCAAAAGAGACAGGUUGUUUAUGGCUUUUUGAGUGCUUAGGGACCAAUAGUGCAGAGCACAUUGCCCUUGGUAUUUUUGAAAAAACACUUCUGCACGCUCAAAAAUAUCCAAGCACUCAAAAUUAUCUUAUAUUUUAAAGAACUUUAUUAAUAGCCAUACGCAAUUGCAUGUGCAUUAUAACUAUUUAGAGAUGAAAAAUUUAUAAAAAAAUCCUUUAUAUUCAACCGCUAUUUUCACUGGUUAUUUUUGUUAGCAUUUGCGGUCCAAUAAGCAUUUUAAAACUUCACAUAACAUAUUAUGUUUAUAAACUAACUUCAAUGCAUGCUAUAAUCUUAUAUCAUUCAUGUUUAGAAAGAUUAUUCUUAACCACCUUUUUUUCAACAAAAAAAGUGCCAUACAAUGCAUUUGUAUAGUGUCUAGCACAUGCAGCAGAUGUUUGUAGUUCAAUGAUGGAAAGAGAGUAAAUAUCGGAGAAAGAGAGGGAGAGCAAUCCAUCAGGCUUCAUAGUUAGCUUCUGAGUAUCUUAAGACCUUUUCUGCCUGAUUACCGAAGUACCUCCACUAUGAUUUCUUCUACAACCCUGUUUGUCUCUGGUGCUACUAAAAUUAUCUCUUGCUUUGGAUCCUGCUCUGCAAUUUCUAGCCCCAUAUUCUGGGCGUGUUAUGGGGGAAUAUUUGACGGGAAUCGUGCACUUCUCCUUUCCUGAGUUCAGAUCAACCACCGAACACACUGAGAAUACAGAUUCCUCCCAGAAUCGAUGGAGAUAAAAAAAACUUGGAUCACGAGAUGCAAACACAAACAACAAAAUAAGGAAGAAACAAAAAAAAAUCCAGAGAGAGAACACAAGGAUUUUACGUGGUUCACCAAAACUUGGCUACAUCCACAAUCUGGAACACUGCCCAGGAGGAUUUAUUCAAAUCCCAUUUAGAGCCGCCGCUUACACCCCAGAAAUGCCGGCUUGACUCCGAGAAGAAAAUCCAAGAGCACAACCACAAGCCCUAGCAAGAAAAUCCUAGAGCACAACCACAAGCCCUAGCUUCUCUCUCCUUGAUAAUUCUUCUCUCUUAUAUCCCUAGGUCUCAUAAGAGACCUAUUUAUAGUCCCCAGACUCUCAGGUGAUCUCCACCGUUGAUUUGCCACGAAUAGGUAACUUAAAAUCGUGACCGCACGGAUUCCGCGCACAGUUGUCGACAACCCAAUCUCCGUUGUCGACAACUGAUGCCAAGAUCACCAAAAAACACCUUUCUGUCCUUCUGUCUUCUGUUCAUAGUUGUCGACAAGUCUGGCUGACUUGUCGACAAGUUCUGUCCAGUUGUCAACAACCAACUCCCCGUUGUCUACAACUCCACAGUGCAACUUUCUGAAACAACCUGAAACGAUCUUCAAGCAUUCACCUGUAACUCAGACAGUCUUCCAGAUCUUGAGUCUUGGCUCAAAACAAACUUGCCGAGCAUGGGGCUGGACCUCUCCCCCAACAAUCUCCCCCUCCAGACCCAUGGGAAGAAGAGAACCACUGCACAUCUUCUUCAAGUCAUGCCCACGAGCUUAGAACAAAGCUCGUGCUUCCCUCGAGUCACAAUCUUAGUAGCCAUAUCUGCGGAUUUUUACUUGUGUCAAUUUUCUUGAUAACCAUCUCCCCCUCUUCAAGCACUUCUCGGAUCCAAUGAUACCUAAUUGCUAUAUGCUUGGUCCUCGGGUCAAUUGCACUCUGAGCAUCACAAUGUAAUACAAAAGCCUCCUGCUUCAUACCCAAUUCAAGAAGAAACCUCUUCAACCAGAGAAGUUCCUUGCCGCCCUCAUUCACAGCAAUAUACUCAGCCUCGGUUGUAGAAAGAGCCACACACUUCUGCAACUUCGACUGCCAUGAUACAGCUCCCCCUGACAAAGUGAAGAUAUAACCAAAAGUCGACCGCUUCCUAUCAAGAUCACUUGCCAUGUCUGCAUCCGUAUAUCCUUGUAAGAUUGGAUUGUCACCGCCAAAGCACAAUCUGAAAUCUGAAGUUCCCCUCAAGUAUCGCAGUAUCCACUUCACCGCCUCCCAGUGUUCUUUGCCUGGGUUUGCCAUAUAUUUUCUCACCACACCCACAGCAUGAGCAAUGUCCGGCUUAGUGCACACCAUGGCGUACAUUAGGCUCCCCACGGCUGAAGCAUAAGGAAUUGACACCAUCCUUUUUUUGUCUUUUUUUGAAUCCGGUGACAUACUAGAACAAAGUUUAAAAUGACCCACCAGAGGAGUACUUACCGGUUUUGCAUUCUUCAUACCAAAUCUCUCAAGUACCUUCUCAACAUAAGUAUUCUGAGACAACCAUAGUCUUCGACCCUUCCGAUCUCUCUCGAUAUUCAUGCCAAGAAUGUGCUGGGCUGAACCCAAGUCCUUCAUGUCAAAAGCUUUGAAGAAGUCCCUUUUCAAUGCCCUAAUCAAAUCUCCAUCCUGGCCAACGAUCAACAUGUCGUCAACAUAGAGUAGAAGCACUAUGAAUCUCCCACCGGUAAAACUCUUUCGACAGACACAAUGAUCUGCAGUUGUACGAGUGUAUCCCUGACUUACCAUAAAGGAAUCAAACUUUUUGUACCACUGUCGAGGAGCUUGCUUCAGACCGUACAAGCUCUUCUUCAAACUACAAAUCAUAUGUUCUUUGCCUUUCACCUCGAAGCCCUCUGGUUGCUUCAUAUAGAUCUCCUCCUCGAGCUCUUCAUGAAGAAAUGCAGUCUUGAUAUCGAGUUGCUCAAUCUAAGUCCAUCAAAGCUGCCAUCGCCAAUACCACCCGGAUUGAUGUCAUCUUCACCACAGGAGAAAAAAUCUCAGUAAAAUCAAUACCUUCUUUCUGCUCAAAAUCUUUGACCACCAGUCACGCCUUGUACUUUGCUACUUGAUCGGUACUAUCUUGUUUGAGCUUGAACACCCACUUGUUGUGCAAAACUCUCUUUCCCCUUGGAGCUUCGACAAUCUCAUAAGUGUCAUUCUUCUUCAAGGAAUCCAUUUCCUCUUCUAUAGCUUUCAACCACUUUAUCUUCUCUUUAGUACAAAGAGCUUCGUUGAAGUCCUCUGGUUGCCCCUCUUCUGUAAGCAAAGUAUAUUCCUCUGAACUAUACUUUCUUGAUGGUAUAGGCACUCUAGUGGACCUCCGGAGUUGAGGCACUUCCGAAGGUGGGAGCUCUACUUCCUGCCUGGUAGAUUCAUCACGUACCGGAGCUUCAUUACCACCAGCAUCCUCAACCACUGGUUCUUCAUGAGCCUCUCCCUCUCCCCCCUCUGAGAGCUGUGGGGAAGAAAUGGGAGUUUCAUCUUGUGGACUUCUAUUAUCAUUUGGCUUCAUAUUCACUUGGAUGUCGGCGAUAGUCUCAUCUUCAAAGAACACUACAUCCUGACUUCUUACUAUCUUCUUGGCUUUAGGGUCGUACAAGUGCUUGCCGAAUUCCUCAUCCCCAUAACCAACAAACAUACACGGUAUGCCUCUAUCAUCGAGCUUUGACCUAUUCUCCUUUGGGAUAUGCACAUAUGCUUUGCAUCCAAAAACUCUCAGAUGGGUAUAGGAAAUCUCCUUCUUCAACCAAACACUCUCUGGAACAUCCCCCUUCAAGGCAACUAAGGGAGACCGGUUGACUAUAUAGGAAGCAGUUAACAUUGCCUCCCCCCAAAAUGUCUUUGAAAGCUUUGACCUGAAUAGCAUCGCCCGAGCUUUAUCCAUCAAUGUGCGGUUCAUCCUCUCCACCAACCCAUUGUGCUGAGGGAUGCGGGGAACAGUCUUCUCAUGCUUGAUACCACGCUGAGCACAAUAGCUUUCGAACUCAUGGGAAACAUAUUCCCCUCCGUUAUCACUACGGAGACACUUGAGUUUCUUCCCAGUUCCACGCUCUACUUUCAUAUGGAACUUGCUAAAAGCUUCAAAUACAUCAGACUUGUUCAGCAAAACAUAAACCCAUACCUUUCAUGAUGAAUCAUCGAUGAAAGUGAGGAAGUAGCGGCGCCCACCGAGUGUAGGAACGUGGAGUGGCCCGCAUACAUCGGUAUGGACAAGCUCCAGGAGCUCUUUCUUCCUCUCUGAGUGUUCUGUGAAGGACACUCUGUAUUGCUUUCCUGCUAAGCACGCCUCACAAGAGCGGAAUGCCAUCGAUCCAGCAUUUGAAGGAAUAAGGUUCUUCUGACCGAGUAAUUUCAUCCCUUUCUCGCUCAUGUGGCCAAGUCUUUGGUGCCAUAAUUCAGGAGUAGCUUCAAGAGCAUUUACUGACUCCCUUUGAGCAUCUAUCUCCAGAUAUGUCUUGUACAAGGUACAACAUGCUUUGCCUCUAGCCACUGUCAUAGAGCCUUUGCUCAGCUUCCAUGCACCCUGUCCAAACAUACUCACAUAGCCAUCCUUGUCAAGAGCCAACCUUGAAAUCAAGUUCAGACGAAGAUCGGGGACAUGUCUGACAUCCUUCAGAACUAAGGUGCAGCCAACCUCUGUCUUUACACAUAUAUCACCGAUCCCAAGAAUUUUCGCCACACUGCUAUUUCCCAUCCUGACAUUUCCAAAGUCACCAGUUCUGUAGCUUGUGAAGAAAUCCUUCCUAGGAGUCACAUGAUACGAUGCUGCGGUGUCAACCACCCAUUCAACUUUGUUGCCUGAGGUAUGAAGGCAUUCUCCUAAGUCUACAAAGACAAUAAUGCCAUCAUCCGAAGUAAUGGCAGCCAAUGUGCCAUCAUCCGAAGUAAUGGCAGCCAAUGUGCCAUCAUCCUUCUGCUUCACCUUUCCCUCCUUCAAGUCCUUCUUAAAUUGAUAACAGUUCUUCUUCAUGUGGCCCUCUUGCUUACAAUACCAGCACUGAUACUUGGACUUCCCUUUUGACUUGGACCGAGCAAUAGACUUCCCUCUGCCACAGGGCUUCCUGCUAUUACUUCUUCCACGGUCCUCAUUUACCAAGACUUGCGAAGGCCCUUCACCGUUGGCCAUCUUGCGAGAUUCUUCAUUUAACAAAACACUAUGAACUACUGGUACUGUCAAACCACCUUUUAGAGUCAAGUUGCUGAUUGAUACCACCAAGGUAUCCCAGCUACUUGGGAGAGAACUCAGCAACAAGCUAGCCUGAACUUCCUCCUCAAAAGUUGUUUUCAUGACUACCAACUGGUUUACAAUACUCUGAAAAGCAUUCAAAUGUUCUGCCAUUGAAGAUCCAUCUCUAUACUUCAGGUUCACAAGUUUGCGGAUCAAUAGAGUCUUGUUUCCCACGGACUUCCGCUCGCACCUUUCGUGUAGCUUUUGCCACAUCUCAAAUGCCGAAGUAAUUCCAGAAACAUGGGGAUAAAUGCUUACAUCAAGCCAUUUUCGGAUCAUCCCGCACGUUUUCCGAUUCAACACCCUCCACUGUCUAGGAUCCAUGUUAUCUUUCAUAUCAGCAUCUUUUAGGAUAGGCUGAUACAAAUCCAUGCAGUAGAGUAUGUCCUCCAUCUUCUCCUUCCAGAUCGGCCACGAGUUCAUGCUGGUGAAACAAAACAUUCCAGUAUCCUUGUUGUUGCUUCCCAUGUCCAUCUCUAGAUCUGGAUCUAGCAAAAAAAACAAUUUCUUCACUCACUUGAACCAAAGGCUCUGAUACCACUUGAUGGGAAUCGUGCACUUCUCCUUUCCUAAGUUCGGAUCAACCACCGAACAUGCUGAGAAUAUAGAUUCCUCCCAGAAUCGAUGGAGAUAAAAAAAACUUGGAUCACGAGAUACAAACACAAACAACAAAACAAGGAAGAAACAAAAAAAAAAUAAUCCAGAGAGAGAACAUAAGGAUUUUACGUGGUUCACCAAAACUUGGCUACAUCCACCAUCUGGAACACUUCCCAGGAGGAUCUAUUCAAAUCCCGUUUAGAGCCGCCGCUUACACCCUAGAAACGCUGGCUUGACUCCGGAAGAAAACCCAAGAGCACAAUCACAAGCCCUAGCAAGAAAACCCUAAAGCACAACCACAAGCCCUAGCAAGAAAACCCUAGAGCACAACCACAAGCCCUAGCUUCUCUCUUUCCUUGAUAAUUCUUCUAUCUUAUAUCCCUAGGUCUCAUAAGAGACCUAUUUAUAGUCCCCAGACUCUCAGAUGAUCUCCACCGUUGAUUUGCCACGAAUAGGUAACUUAAAAUCCUGACCGCACGGAUUUCCGUGCACAGUUGUCGACAACCCAAUCUCAGUUGUCGACAACUGAUGCCAAGAUAGCCAAAAAACAUCUUUCUGUCCUUCUGCCUUCUGUUCACAGUUGUCGACAAGUCUGGCUGACUUGUCGAUAAGUUCUGUCCAGUUGCCGACAACCAACUCCCAGUUGUCGACAACUCCACAGUGCAACUUUCUGAAACAGCCUGAAACGAUCUUCAAGCAUUCACCUACAACUCAUACAGUCUUUCAGAUCUUCAGUCUUGGCUCAAAACAAACUUGCCGAGCAUGGGGCUGGACCUCACCCCCAACAAUAUUUUUGCGAUAAUGGAAUGCACGCAUUAAUAAUAUAGGCGGUGGCAUAUCAACAAAUGUCAUUAUUGUUAUGCUGACUACCAGGCCGUGAGGCUUUCCCAGGAUAUGUUUUCUAUUUACAUUCCCGUCUGUCUAAUGGUUCUAUCAAUCGACCAGACGGGUUGUGUUCCAAACUUCCAAUCAAAAGGAAGCACCUAAGGAGGUUGGGUUGUUGGGAGAGCCAUUUUGCUCCCUGGUCUCUGGCCCUCAGAGGACAUUAGAAGCAAAUCUGGAACAAUUAAUGCAUCCUUGUAAGACUAAUUGUUGGCAGGCCACUCAGGUAACUGAUUAAGCCACUAAUCAUGCUUGCAAGCAUGAAUGGUGGACUGUGGCUGUCUAGACCCUGCAUGCUUUUUUCCAAUGUCCAUCAAUAACAAAAGAGGGAUGCAAGCCGCAGCUCGGUUUUGAUGCUAUGAUGGGAUGAUGGAAGUGUCUUGGUUUGAGGCUCAUGCAAGCACUUGUUGAAGAGCUGCCAUAGUAAAUUACCAAAUUCAACAAAACAUUUGAUUCUGUUUUAUCCUGAAACCAAUUUCUACUUUUUCAUUAGUAAGUUCAAGCUUAGUGACUUUUUGUUGAUGGAAGAUCAUAUGAUACAUGGACAAAAUCUUGUUAGCUACGCCUAUUGCAUGUGCCUCAUACUAGCAUAAAGGUAAGAACCUUGUAUUAUAAAUAAAAUUUGGUUCAAGUUCAACUAGUAGACACUGCUAAUUAGUUAAAGAAAAGCAUUAUCUCAUAUCAUAAUCACAAAAUUUAAUUAAAAUUAUCAUGAUAUAGUGAGUUAAUUAGUUUCAUUUCUCCUACAAAUCAAAACCACGUGUAAGCAUAACUGGGCCGGCUGAAAAUUUCAGGCCCAGCCGUGAACGUUAGACCGUGUCAAUAGGCCUUAUUUAUCCCAAAUAUAAUAGAUGGAGCAAUAUAUAAGGCUAACGAUUCCAAGAUCCAACGGCCGGAAGCGGGAGAUCACCAGAUGAAAACCCUAAUUAAAAGAAGAGAAACCCUAGAGUUCCCGGGCUCUUUCCCUCUUUCCCUCCUCCAUCGCUCCCUCUCUUACCCCGGCUGCCGAGCCGCCGAAUCCCUCCGGCCGUCGCCCCUCCGUCGAAGACCGGAGCCGGCCAUUGCUUCCCUCUGCGGAUUGCCGGUACUCUUGUCCUCACCCGCUCGUUCCCCCUCUUUUCCCGUCUUCUGUGAAUCAUAGCUCACUUAUAUUACUUUUGGAACGGGGCUUCAUCUCUAUUGCCCUAACUUAUAAACUUUGAGAGCUGGAAUUAUGUCAUCUGCGCUCAAAAUCACUUUUUUUUUUUUUAUUUCGUCAAUGAUUUCAAACUAUAUGAUGAUAUAGUGUGUAAAUUUUUGAGUUUCUUCCCAAAUUUACUCAUCUAUAAAGCGGUAAAAGUUUGCAUCUUUUACUUGAUUUGAUUUGUAACGAAAGUAUUCUAUUUGGUUAACGAAUCCGAUCAUCCUCUCUUCUUUUCCUGGAUAUUUCUUGCGCUAUAGGUUAGUAUUAACUGUGAGUGGAUUAUUUGGUGAAGCUGCUUUGAAGGUUAUCAGAUUUUCAUGGCGGAGGAGGAGCCACAGCCCCUCACUUAUGUCCAUGAGACGGUGCUAAAGAAGAGGAAAAACAAUGAAGAGUGGGCUAUCAAGAGGAGGGAGCAAUUGGAAGCACGAAAGAAAAGAAACAAAAGGGACUUGAAAUUCGCGAUCAAAAGGCCCGAGGAGUUUGUCAAGGAAUACCGUGAUAAAGUAAGCAUAUUGCAUUAUUUNNNNNNNNNNNNNNNNNNNNNNNNNNNNNNNNNNNNNNNNNNNNNNNNNNNNNNNNNNNNNNNNNNNNNNNNNNNNNNNNNNNNNNNNNNNNNNNNNNNNNNNNNNNNNNNNNNNNNNNNNNNNNNNNNNNNNNNNNNNNNNNNNNNNNNNNNNNNNNNNNNNNNNNNNNNNNNNNNNNNNNNNNNNNNNNNNNNNNNNNNNNNNNNNNNNNNNNNNNNNNNNNNNNNNNNNNNNNNNNNNNNNNNNNNNNNNNNNNNNNNNNNNNNNNNNNNNNNNNNNNNNNNNNNNNNNNNNNNNNNNNNNNNNNNNNNNNNNNNNNNNNNNNNNNNNNNNNNNNNNNNNNNNNNNNNNNNNNNNNNGCUCAUUGCUAAACCUAGGCCAUAUCAAUUAGAUGACAUGUUCAUUUCUUGUCACUGCAAAGCUUUUUUUGGUUGUAUGUUUGGCAUCUGAAAUUUGUAAAUAGUUAAAUUUGGAAUUUUUUUUUCUGAUUUUCUCACUCAUUUUCCAGGAAUUGGACCACAUUCGGAUGAAACAAAGGCUGAAGCUGCGGAAAUUGGCUUCUGACAGUCUUAAAUCUGAGUUACUUUUUGUUAUUCGUAUUCGUGGGUGAGUUGGGGAUGUCAUAAUACCUCUUAUUUUGCAAAUUCUCUUGUUCAAAGCUGAUUUUGACAUGUUUGCCUCUGCUAAAUCGGUUUUCUCCCUCUUUUUUGUGAUAAUAUUCAGCUCAAGGGACAUGCAUCCUAGAACCCGAAAAAUCUUGGACUUGUUGAGGUUGAGACAUUUUUUAAGUGGUGUAUUUGUGAAGGCCAGUGAAGCGACUUUGAAAAUGUUACUCAGUGUAGAGCCAUUUAUCACCUAUGGGUAAGAAAUCUGAUAUGUUCUUCAUUAUUUUACCAUAGUUCUUGUUUUCUCUUAUGUUCAUUUAAAAUUUUAUGUGAUCGCAGCUAUCCUAACUUGAAGAGUGUGAGGGAGCUGAUCUACAAGAAGGGCUGUGGAAUGAUAGAUAAGCAGAGGGUUCCUCUCACAAAUAACAAUGUUAUUGAGCAGGUGCAGUCUCCUGCAUUCUGUAUAAUCUUUCACCUGCCACAUAACUUAUUUUCUGUUUUACUUUUUCAUGCAUGGUCUGUAAAUUUACUGUGACUAUGGGUUAGGAACGGAAACCAUCACAACAAUAAUUCAUUUCAUAUUGCUUUGCAUUGUUAAUUUUUGACUGUACAAAUAUUUGAAAUUUUAUUUGGAAGGACAAGAACAAGAUUCGCAUUGAAAUUUCUGGUAGCAUUGUAAUUCCUCGAAGUCAAAGUUCAAAUGCUGAAAGAUUUCCUAGUCAUAGGCCUUGUCUAAGUGGCUUAUACUGCAUCUCAUUCAGAACACAGAAAUAACAUCAUGCUGUACCUUGGCCGUUUCCUCUCUCUACCUUAACGUUCUUGGAUACUUCUCAUGCACCACAAUUCAAGACAGUGUGGAAAACAGUCACCACCUGAUCGGAUGUGAAUUUGGCGGGUCGUCCCACCUUCCUAAGGGUUUGGACAAGUUGUAUUUUUCUCAUUGCAGCUACAUGUGACUUGACAAGUCUGAGUUGACCUGAGCACCUACGAUGUUAACAUUGAUUCUGACCUGCAUUUUUUGAAUGGGAAAACAAAUAUAAACUCAAGUUUUAUGCCUCGAGUAAACUUGGUAGCGAUGAAUGUGUUAAAGCUGCCUGUUCUCCAUUGAAGAUGAUGUGCCCCACAUCAUCUGUUUCCUGCUUUAAUUUAGGAAUAAUAAAUACUUACAAAUUGUUUUGCUGCGUAAUUCAGGCACUUGGAAAGUAUGGCAUCAUCUGUAUUGAAGAUAUCGUGCAUGAGAUUGCUACGGUGGGAUCACAUUUUAAAGAGGUGACCAAAUUCCUGUGGCCAUUCAAGCUUAAAGCUCCUGAGAGACGUCUGCAGUUGAAGAAAAAACCCCACAAGGACGGUGGUGAUUCAGGCAAUCGUGAAGAGCGCAUCAAUGAACUCAUAGAUAAGUUCAAUUAAGGUGGUAUUUGGAGAUGCAGUAACAGCAUUCAUGUGAUGUAUCUUGACCAUCAUCAAUAGUCUUAAAAUUGUGAUUUAAAGCAGAGAUCUUAUUGUAUGUUUAUGGUAUUUGAACAUAUAUUCUCUGAUCCAUUGCAAUUUUUCAUCUUUCUCUAAGUUUUUUUCUUUCACUUUUGUAAUAGAUGUCAAGAAUUUAGUUGUUGAAUCCUGCAACUUAUGCCUGGUAUAUUUGUCUUGUUCAAACUUGGAGAGCAAUUCGUCGGUGAAUUAGUUGAUUAUUCUUGUUUUUGAGCUUAAUCUUUUAUUGAACUGAAUCCUCUAAGCUUGGGAGAUUUCUGUAAUUCUUGACAUUUGUACUUUUUUUGUUCUGCUGCUCGCUAUACGUGAGAAAGUCUGCUACCUUAAAUUCUAUUUCGUAAUGACAAAUAUUUGCUUAUGCCUUUACUCCUUUUUUCUUGGUGGUUGGGGGUUGGGGGGGGGGGGGGGNNNNNNNNNNNNNNNNNNNNNNNNNNNNNNNNNNNNNNNNNNNNNNNNNNNNNNNNNNNNNNNNNNNNNNNNNNNNNNNNNNNNNNACAAGUCUUGAAAGACUAGUACUGUCUGUACUUGGGAGUUAUUGAAAAGAAAGUCCUCAAAAGCCCUGGAAAUUCUCGACAUUCCGGCUGUGGAAUUGUUGCAGAUUAGGUUGAGGGAACCAUUUUUCAAGGAUGAUAUUUUGGAGUGCCCAGACUGUUAUGAUUUCUUGAACAGGUCAAGCUUCUUGUGAAGCAGGGUGUGUUGUACCUUGGCAUGAAAAGAAAAAAAAAUGAUUGGUCUUCUUUCUUGUAGAUCAUUGGAUCAUGCUCUGUAUAGAUCUCAAAGCACUCUAAACUUCUUGAUUCAUCGUAGCUUCACAGAUGUCGAAGCGAUCAUCAGGCAGCAACGCAAGAGCCCUCCACUGCUAUCCCAACACGCUUUUCCUUAUUAGCAGGUGAGAAAAAAUAAGGAUAUUUUGAGGUUGUCAAGCUCUAUCUUUAUCUCAUGAAUGCUAGCUAAGUGGUCGUAUCUCUUUGCUUAUAAACGAGGGUAUCAGGUUUAUGCCUCAAAUGAUGUUAUUACAGCAGUCUUAUUUCUCUCUUAUCAAUGUGUUUCUCCAGUUGCUUCUGGGUAUUCUGUAAUACUCCUAUAUUAUUUUUCUGUUUUGGUAUUUUGAUACCUCAUCUCCUACAGAGAUCAUCGCUUUUAACCUCUGUUUUCGGUUUUCACUUCAUCUUCCAAUGAAGAUGAAAACUCCUCCCUAUUUCUGAAAGAAGAGAACACCCUAUCGCAUGAUCGGCCGUCCAAGAGAAAGAAGGAACGAACGGUGAAACUAGUUCUGGAUAUCAAACAAAACAGGACUGGAUAUUUUAAGGUUUGCAACGGAACAAAUCUGAGCCUGAAACAGAUGUUAUAUAGAACUUACAAAAGGGUGGCAAAGCUGGUCAAGAAGUUUCCUCAUGUCUGAUAACUGAUUCUUAUAAUUAAGGAAACUACAGGUAUUAAUAUUUUGUUCAAAAAACUGCAGAAUCUGUAUGAUUCCUAAUCUAUACCUGACAACAGUUUAUGGAGCUAUAUAUCACAGUAACUUGUGAUAAUAAUCAGCUCCGCAGAAGUUAACAAGAAUGUCCGAUAGACAGAAUUUUGACGCAACAACACAUGAAUCUAUGGAAUUUAAUCUUACAAGAUGUCAGACUGCCAAACUUCUGAAAGGAAUGAAGAUUCAUGAUGACCUAUUUUUCCUGCAAGAACAAUCACUCUAUGGCAGCAAGCCACUCGCUACAUGGACGUAUCCAUUAAUGAAUUGCAGUACAUAAUAAUUAUAACUUAAUUGCGCAAACAUUUCACCAAACGACGGAUUUUUUGUUGACGCUUGCAUGCAUGCAUACUGGGCUGGGCAGGAGCCCUAAUUGUGACAUUUUGGUGCUGGGCAUAAUAGGCUGUGGAGGAACUUCCUAACAACAGUCUGGAAGCCUUAUCCUGCCCGCAGGCAUCAUGCACCCGGACCAAAUUCUUCCGAGGUCUCGUACCAUUACCCAUACCCGCCGUGGAUCGAAUAAAGUUACAAAAAUUAUUAUUUUUAAUUAUAUGUGUGUGUGUAUAUAUAUAUAUCCAAAUCAGAUUUAGAGCUGCUUUUAUCAUUAUCUAUACCAGCUUCGGAUCCAUUGUGAGUCAGGUAAAACGGUGAGGACCCAUGCGGGCCUGUAUUUAGACCCAUAUCGAUUAUUUACUAGAUAAAUCUUGAGUGCUUAUACAGGAUUAAGAAAUGCAGAUAAUUUCUUCCGAUUAACCAUUUUGAAUGAGGUCCUGAGUUGUUACAAUUGGUAUCAGAGCGAACCUAACCCAUAACCUAUCUAGAAUAGGAAACACUGCAAUAUAGAUUUAUUGGGGCUAACAACGGACCGAUCAUAAUGCUUUGAUUAGAUUUGAUUGAAUUUGAACCUUUAGCCUGACGGAUACGUCCGAACUUAAACGGAAGGAGUAUGUAAGGAUCUGUGCACGCAUGUGUUUAGUCCCAUAUCGUUUCUUCACUGGAUAGAUCUUGGAUACUUAUAUAAAAUCAAAAAAUUCAAAUAAUAUUUUUCAGCUAGUUAUUUUGGAUGAGGUCUUAAAUUGUUAUAAAAACUCGCCCCAUUUGAAUUAGGUUAGGUUGGAUAUUCGAUGCAACUGAGUAAAUUGUCAUCCCCAUCAAGAGUAGUGAUGGUGUUUCUAAUAGUAACCGUAACAGGACCAGAAAGCCUGCUCUCCUUUACUUUGGCAUUAUGGUAUCAUAAAUGAAUUACUGAGCUGUACCUUGAACAAGAGGAGAAUUGAUGUCAAUUUAUGCAGGUUUGUGGGCAAAGGGAUGAGAUUUGUGGCUCAUGGGUUCAGAUCGACCUGGAUCGACCCUAUUGGCAAAAGGAUACUUGAACCCAUCAUUCAUGUCAGAGAACAAAAUAGACCUUCAUCACCAAGUAAAGCUCCUUUAUGAACAAAAUCUUGGGGAUGCCAUACCUAGCUAACACCACGCAUGCUCAAGGACAAGUCUUUUUCUUCUGUUUUUCGACUUUUCUCUCUCUCUCUUUUUAACCCCCUCCCUAACUUGUUGAUAUUACUGUUUGUAGAUCUGUCAUGAUAUUCCUGAACUCCUAGCAGCCCUGGAAAGCUUAGUAUCGUGGAAAGGCAAGACCCCCAUAUUCUCUACAAGCUACACGAUAUUCCACAAUUUCAUGUCAAGAUAGGUGAAAGGAUAGGAUCCUCAUGAAUGUGAAAAAUCUUCUUGAAUGGUGUAACAAUAGUUGCAGAUCUAAGCAGAGAGAGGGAGGCAAAUAUGGCCAACUAGUUAAAUUAAAAUAAAAAUCAAAUCAAACUGUAAAAAUUUAGAUUUACAGAUAAAAAAUCAAAAGGUGAGAGGCUUUUAAUAGAGGUUUUCAUGCAGACAGUUUGAUAAAAAGAUAGUACAUUUGAUUAGGGGUCAUACAAGCCAAGAGAUUUUGGUGGUGGAUUGAAAUUCUAUAUAGGUAAAAUGUUAGUAAACUAGAGAGGGGAAGGUAAGAAUGAAAGAGAGAAAAUUUUCAACCCAAAAAGGAAACAGUGGAAUAAUUUAAAGUAAAAAACAGUUUCCAUAGCAUCUUUGUGAAAGUGAGGUUUGUCUUUGUUAAUUCAACCCUGAUCACUUUAUUUAUUUAUAAAGAAGGACAAUCACUUAGGAAUCCAUUGAGAAGGAGAGAUAUGUCUCUUCAUUUUUUGUCUCUAAAUAUAAUAUAAGAAAAAUUUGGCCCAAAAGUUGUGUUAUAAACUAUGGGAUCUUUUUGUUCAAAUCGAACUAAAUUAGUUUUAAAAUUUUAAUAAUUCUUGGAGAGGACUAUGGAUGGUUUCACUUUUUUUUAAAACAAAAGGGUGAUGUUUCGCCUGUAUUAUAUUUAUCUAGGUUGGUAACUUGACUUGCACUAGUCUAGACCUAAACCUAGAGUUUCACUACACCAAAAAAGAAAAUUUCCGACUCUUAUUUGCCGACGCUUAUUCCAAGCGUCGGCAAAAUAAUUUCCCCGUCAACAUUUGCCGACGCUUUUUAAAAGCGUCGGCUAAUGACGAUGCUUUUAACGACGCUUUUUAGCGUUGUUAAAUAACGACGCUUUUAAGCAUCGUUAAAAGCGUCGUCGGAAGCCAAAAAACCACCUCAUUUUAGUCCCACAUCGGUGGAUCUGAAAAAGAAAUAACUGUUUAUAUAGCCAAAUCCAACCACUCUGCAUGGAUGGAAUGAAGGUAUCGAUCGGGGAGGUUGUUUGUAUUUCUCUUUGUGUUCCAUCAGCACCAUGGAAUGGAGGAGAAGAUGCAGAUCGUCAAUAGAAAUUUUCUUAUGAUAAUUAGCGACGUUUUAAAGCGUCGGUAAAGAGCGACGCUUUAAAGCGUCGGGAAAAGCGAAGCUUAAAAGCGUCGCUAAAUUGUAAUUAGCGAAGCUUUUGGAAGCGUCGGAAAAUGUUUUUUCCACUGUAGCAUAGGCGACGCUUUACCGACGCUUUGUAAAGCGUCGGGAUGGUUUCUACCGACGCUUAAAAGCGUUGCUAAUGUCCAAGUUUCUUGUAGUGUUUGGACUUUCAAAUGGAAGAGUAUGGCCACCGAGAAUUCUCAAUUAAUAUAUUUUUUUUCUCUUUUUGAUAUAGAUUUAUUAUUUUUAUUAGAACUCCAUUCAUGAAAUUCCUCUCGCAAGAAGAGACACUAUAUGAAAUGUAGGUUGGAGAAAUCAAGAACAUUCUCUUCUAUUUUUUUCCGAAAUAAAUUAAAUGCCUUUCCGUAAAAAUAGAGGAAGCCUAUGUUUCUUCCUCUUAUCCCAUUUAAUAAAAAUUAAUUAAAAACUUCUCCAUAAACCAAAAUUAAACACAAAAAUGAAUUUAAAUAUUUACUUAUAAAGUUAAAAAAUGUUUUGAAUAUUUUGAUUUUCGCUAAACACUACAUAAAAUAUCUUUUUAAAGUUUGAAGAGUCUAGUUCACAUCUGUUAUCUAAUACCCACCACGGCCGAACUUGCAUACCACUUUAAUACUCGUAGACUCGAGGCUUUACAGAUCAAGAACAAAAAAAUAAAAAAUAUGAAAUUAAGCUAAAAUGUGAAAUUGAGUAUCCUACCCAAGUGCUAAAUAAUUUACUAAUAUUUAUUAUCAUCAUUUUUAAGAUAUAUAAUUAUAAAAAUAUGCAAAAUAAAUUAUUUUUUCAAAAGUAAGAAUUUUUGAAAGUUUACUAUUAAUUCUCAACAUUCUUACAAAAGUAAUUUUACUUCUCAUUACUUUUCUUUCGGUGCAUUUCACUGCAACAAGAAUACCUUCAAAAAUUCCACCCAUUGUACGGCAGAAAUCUAAUCAGACAAAAAACAAGGGAAAAAAAUAACUAUGAAAUGCAUUUACUCUAACUUUUGCUCAACAAUGAAAGACAUUUACUACAGCCACUUUAAAUUCUCAUCAAAAAGUUCAACACACAAAUAAAUAACCAUAGUAAAUUCCUUGUUCAACAAAAAUUAAAUGCAUGCUUAGAGUCCGUGACACUUGUACGCUUCUCCAUCUCUCUCUCUCUCNNNNNNNNNNNNNNNNNNNNNNNNNNNNNNNNNNNNNNNNNNNNNNNNNNNNNNNNNNNNNNNNNNNNNNNNNNNNNNNNNNNNNNNNNNNNNNNNNNNNNNNNNNNNNNNNNNNNNNNNNNNNNNNNNNNNNNNNNNNNNNNNNNNNNNNNNNNNNNNNNNNNNNNNNNNNNNNNNNNNNNNNNNNNNNNNNNNNNNNNNNNNNNNNNNNNGUCCCUGUUGACUGAAAAUGAAUUUUGUGGUCCAACGGCUCUCCAAACUAUAAUUCCCGGUUCCUGGGAGGAUUAAUCUUUGAAGAUAAUGUGCCGAAUAUGCCCCGAUCCAUGCCAACACUAGUAUUUUGAAGGCAGAAAUUGAGACGUUUGGAGUUUCCGUAAUCCCUGUUCGCGUGGCCAACGGAAGGCAUUUUCGGUUUGAAGGCGGGGAAAAGUGAGUCGUUUGGAGUUUCCGUAAUCCCUGUUCGCGUGGCCAACGGAAGUCAUAUUCGGUUUGAAAGCGGGAGAACUUCACCGUUGGAAUUCCAGAGAAGACUUUGGAGCUCCACAAGCAUAGUCCUCUGUUCUUUGAGGUUCCAACGGACGGUAUGCUUAUCGGGGGGCCAACGGAAGGGUUUUUGGUUUGAAGGCGGGAGAAGGUUACCGUUGGAAGACCAGAGAAGACUUUUGAAGGCAGAAAAUGAAGUCCUCUGUUGUUUGAGGUUCCAACGGACACCUGUUUGCCACACCUAUUUGCCGUUGGAAACGCCUGCUAGUUAGAUGUGGGACAUCAACGAGGACAUAUACUGGUAGACGAGAUGGUUGGCAUGGUGUUUAUAUCAAAGUAUUCAGAGCGAUUCUAGAAGAGUUGAACCGCUACUACAUUUGGCCGCGGGAACUGGAGUCGAGAGAGAACUCCAUUUUCUGUUUGAACUCCAUCCGGCAAACAGAUUAUAUGCAGAUUGCCCAUCUGUUUGAACUAGAGUCUUCUCUUCUUUGAUAAGCAGAUUACCCAUCUGUUUCCCAUCUUCUUCCGUUUUGCCAUAGGGUGUGGGAAAUUAAGAUUAUGUUUUCUUUGUUUAUGAAUGCCUUGUUCUGCUCCAGUCUACCAUCUUCUUCCAUUUUGCCUUAGGGUGUGGGGAAUUAAAAUCAGGUGUUUUUUGGGAGUUCAUGAAUGCUCUGUUGUGCUCCACUCUCCCUCUAAGUCUGUUAUAAUAGAGAUAUUUUGCUAAGGUGCCUCUGAUUCUGCACUCUUCGUCUGACUUUGUUAUAACCGAGCUGAGCUCCAAGAAUUGUCUCCAAAUCAUUUGUGCUGAUCCCUCCUUUUUUCAUUAUCAUGGCUUCAAAGAACAGUAGUAGCCCGGUUUUCAUGGCUAUUUGUUGUUACAGUAGCGAAGCUGUUAUUAUUUCCAUUUGUGAGGACACAAUUCUUGAUCAAAUUUUCAAGAAAAUAGUGGAAAGGUGGAGACAUUUAUCUUCUACAAUGAUAGAAAUUAAGUUUUAUAUUCUAAACAAAUCUAGAAUGCUUGUUACGCUCAUGAACGAUAAGGAUGUUCGUAACAUGCAUCAAAUACAUGUGAACUUAAAUGCGGCAGUGAUCGAGAUGGUUGUUACUCAUUCUCUAAGCUUGAUCGAUGCUGCUGAUGUGGUAAUCAAUACGAGCUAUUCCAUAUUUGAAAUUUUAUUUUGUUCAUUUGAAGCUAAAAGAACAUUAAUAAGUGUGCUGAAAUUAUGUUUAUCGUUUUGUAUGGACAGUGGCUCAUCCCAUGGUGCUGAAAUUAGUUGGAGAUCCAAAAAUAUUUCAAAGAGUAGCUCAAUUAAUUUUGUCCAAGUUGUUGAAGAAACAAGAGCUGCAAUUGAAAAGAAAGAAAGUCAAAAAAAUUUCUUGGAUGCUUGGAAAAGCUGUAUAGAGGGCGUUGGUCAGGAGUUCAAGAAUGUCGAAACUCUUCGUGACACCAUUCACAACUUUUGUAUCGCAAAUUGCAGAGAUUUUGUGUUCAUGAAGAACGAUCGUGAGUGAGUUACUGUGGAAUGUGCAUAUGAAGAAUGUGAAUGGCAUAUCCAUGCUUCUCGACUUGGUAAUGGUGAAAAGUUUGCAAUUAAAAAAAUGAACGGUAACCAUACAUGUGGAGGAGGGAUGCAAGUCCGGUCGCAUCCGAAGGCUUCAAAACGUUGAGUUUCGAACAUUGUUAAAGAUAAACUUCAAGAUAUGCCAUUAUAUAAGCCGACUGACAUUGUAAAAGAUAUUCGUCGGAAAUAUGGUGUUCAAUUGCCGUAUCAUCAGGCUUGGAAUGGUAAGGAGCUGGCUAUGAAGGAGAUUUAUAGUGAUAGAUCACUAUCUUAUGACUGAAUUUGGUGGUAUUGCGACGCCAUUGUUCAAACCAACCCCGGCAGUAUUGCAGAGUACGAAAUAAUUGAAGGUCGAUUCAGACGUCUGUUUAUUUAUUUUCAUGCUUCACUAUUGGGUUUCAUAAAAGGAUGUCAACCUUUAAUUUUUAUGGAUGAGAUAUUUAUAAAACAUAAGGAUGGAGGUGUAUUGCUUGGCGCCACUGCCAAAGAUGACAAUGAUGAUAUGUUUUCUAUAGCUUAUGGUGUGGUAGAUACAGAAACUGAUGAAAACUAGGAAAGAUUUUGCCGGAUUUUCAAAGAAGCUAUUCAUAGUUGCAGUGAGUACCGUGGUCAAAAGUUGACAUUUAUGGCAGAUAGACAUCAGGAAAUUAUUAAAUCGAUGCCGAAGUACUUUUCUGGUUGCUACCACUUAUAUUGUAUUCAUCAUGUGAAAGAAAACUUUAAGAAUCAGGUUUGCAUCAUAAUAUUCUAAAUAAUUUAAAGUAGAAAGUAUCUAAGUAAUAUACCAUCCGAUAUAUCUGAUAUUUAAUUGUGAUCGCAAGUAAUUGUGUAUUAUCAUGCAGCUGACAGAAGAGGCUGCUUGAUUUACUAAAUACUGUUGCGUAUACUCCAAGGCUUAAUGUUUUUCAAAAGCUAAUUGGAAAACUUACAUCAGAAGCCCCUAGUGCUUCCACUUUUCUCCUACAUGCCAACCCCGAGGAUUGGGCAAAUGCAAUUUUUCCAGGUCCACGCUGGGGCACUACGACAUCUAACGUGGCUAAGUGUUUUAAUAGUUGGAUCUUGGAGACUCGUCAUCUGCCCGUCCCUCAGAUGGUUGACCAUAUCAGGCUUCAAAUUAUGCAGAUGAUGCAUGAACGGCAUAAUCAAGGAUAUAGCAUUCAAACCCACCUAUGUCCAGAUGCUGAGAAAGUGUUACAUAAAAAUGCAGAUGACGGUCGGAGAUAAUCCGUGUUUACAUCCAACAUAAUGAUAUAUGACGUAAAGGAUACAAACUACUCAUGCAAAGUUGACCUCCAGAAUUGCAGCUGCUCUUGUGGCGAGUGGCGAAUCUUCGGCAUGCCAUGUAAGCAUGCUUGUGCUUGUAUCAAGAAGGCCGGCAGAUCAUUGUACCAAUUCAUUGACAUUUGGUUCCAAGCUGAAUUGUAUAGAGCAACAUAUGACGAAGCAAUUAGUCCAAUUCCUGAUAUUGAGGAGCCGCACAGUGCAUCUGAAGAGAUUUACAUUCUACCCCCUAUGACAGACACAUCCUGGCAGGCCUAAAAAGAAGAGAAGACCUUCUCAAGUUGAGUUAGUACGUGAUAUGAGAUAUGGACGAUGCGGGAAGCUUGGGCACAACAGAAGGACAUGUAAUGAGGUUAUAGUGUAAACAAUAUGGUGCUCUAGUUUACAUUGAAGGUAUGGAACACUUGGCACAUCCUUGGCACACCUUUGGCACACCAUGGCAUACAGUUUCAAUCCCAUGGCACGCCAUGGCACACCAUGUGUUGCUGGAAAUUGGACCCGGGGGCCGCCGCGAAACCGGGGAAGGAGGAGCUCCGCUGCUACAGGGGGCGGACGGCGGUGCGCCGGCCGGCUGCGUCCUCCACCGUGGGGCGUGGGAGCGUCCGAAGAGGGGUGGUGCGUCCAGUCCUGUCCUGUCCUGCAAAAAAGCCGGUGGCCGGGCUUCCCGGCGCCGGCCCUCCGAUGCCUAAGUCAGAGGGGGCAAGUAUGUGGAGAGAGCAGGGAGGAGAGUAUGUGGAGAAGACACAGAGGAUAUUUGGAUAAGAUCAAGAAGAUGAAAGGGAUGGUGUCAUCAAUUGUGUCUGUGCUUCCUCCCACCCCGUCCCGGAGGGUUCAGUCCGGGGAGUUUUUGUUAGGGGUUUCUUAGAGUCCAGUCUCGAGGGUCCUCUCCCUCUUCCCCCCAGGCUUCCUUUUAUAAAAGGAUUUGGUUACCUGGGAGGUGACAGGAGGUUUGUCCUGUUCUGUGAUAAUUGGGCACGAUUUAGCCCAUUAAUGGCGUAGUGGAGAACGGGAUCGGAUCAGACCGGAACCAGGGAGUUGUCACGGUCGAUCGGACCUGUUGGAGUUGUUGAACCGCCGGCCGUGGUGGGCCUGGGGUCCGUGGAUGGUAAGUGCAUUUAUUACCGAAUGAACCGGCGGUCAGGUAGAGCCAUACGCUCUGAUGGUUCAGUGAUCCGAAGAUCGUCUUNNNNNNNNNNNNNNNNNNNNNNNNNNNNNNNNNNNNNNNNNNNNNNNNNNNNNNNNNNNNNNNNNNNNNNNNNNNNNNNNNNNNNNNNNNNNNNNNNNNNNNNNNNNNNNNNNNNNNNNNNNNNNNNNNNNNNNNNNNNNNNNNNNNNNNNNNNNNNNNNNNNNNNNNNNNNNNNNNNNNNNNNNNNNNNNNNNNNNNNNNNNNNNNNNNNNNNNNNNNNNNNNNNNNNNNNNNNNNNNNNNNNNNNNNNNNNNNNNNNNNNNNNNNNNNNNNNNNNNNNNNNNNNNNNNNNNNNNNNNNNNNNNNNNNNNNNNNNNNNNNNNNNNNNNNNNNNNNNNNNNNNNNNNNGUUGGGUUAGUUCGGCAGCAGAGGGGACCACAGCAGCUAUUUCCCUCUGCUAGUUCUUCAGAUCAGGGGAGGAGUAUAGCAGAGUUCAGAAAGUUGGCUCCUCCGGCCUUCAAGGGAACUACCGAUCCCCAAGAGGCCGAAUGUUGGAUAGAUGAGAUGGAGAAGGCCUUCAGGGCCAUGGGUUGUACUGAGGAGGAGAAGAUCAGAUUUGCCACCUAUAUGCUUCAGGGCCGGGCUCAUCAUUGGUGGGAGUCUGUAGAGAGGACCAUGAUGCAGGAUGCAGGAUCUGUGACCUGGCCGGGAUUUCGCAUGGCCUUCUACGUAUUUCCCUUUCAGUCGUAUCAGGGAGCUGGAGAGGGAGUUUCUGAGCCUCUCUCAGGGGAGUAUGACUGUGGAGGACUAUGAGGCUGAGUUUAUCGGUUGUCCCGUUUUGCACCAUCUCUUGUCCAAGACCCUAAAUCUAGGAUGAGUAGAUUUGAGGAAGGACUGAGGCCUCGCCUGCGUCAGGGAUUAGCUGCUGUUCACUCGACUGAUUAUGAUGACCUAGUUGAUAGAGCUAAAAAUAUGGAGAUCAUCUGGAAGGAGACACAGGAUGCUCAGAAAGGAAAGUCGAAGAGGACCAGGGACUUUGAUUCUGACGGUGAGCGGCAUCUGCGCCGACCUAUACAGUUCCGUCCAGGAGCAGGGCAGCGAGUUCCACAUGGGAGGACUGCACCGGAUCGCAGGGGGAUAUCAGGAGUGUGCUUCAGGUGUGGCCAAACUGGACAUAGAGCUGUUGAGUGUCUUCUGACACGGCCUGGUAUUGGGGCAUCUUUCAGGUGUGGUCAGCAGGGCUACCGGAUAGCUGAGUGCCCUCAGACUCAGACUGUUUCUGGAGUUUGUUUCGGAUGUGGUCAGCCGGGUCACAGGAUUUCCAGUUGUCCUCGUACUAGAUCUACGCAGAGGCCACCGAGUUCUGUAGCUCCUCAACGACAGACUUCCUUCACUCCAGUACAGGCUACCCAGUCAGCUGUCCCCAGGCAGCAAAAGAAAGGAGGGUCUCGUACCCAGGGACGAGUUUAUGCGCUGACUCAGCAGGAUGCUCAGGCAUCCAACACUGUAGUGACAGGUACACUAUUGGUAUCUUCCACUUAUGUUUAUGUGUUAUUUGAUUCUGGUGCUACGCAUUCUUUUAUCUCAUCUUCAUAUGUGCAUAAGUGCGAUUUACACUACUCUUCCUUAGAGAGGGAAUUAUGCAUUAGUACUCCAGCUGGGGGUACGAUGACAGUUAGUCAGAUCUGCAUUUCCUGUCCAGUACUAGUUGAGGGUAGAGAUUUGAGAGCUAAUUUGAUUGUUAUGAAUCUGCAUGAUUUUGAUGUAAUCUUGGAUAUGGAUUGGUUGGCUGCAUACCACGCUACCAUAGACUGUUUUCUGAAGAGGGUGACCUUCCGGAUCCCGGAUAUUGAUAAGUUCAGUUUUAUGGGUGAUGACUGGGGUGUCUCUUCUCAGAUAGUACCUGUUGUGCAGGGCAUAAGAUCUCUUAGAAAGGAGUUUCCCAUCUUUAUGGCCGCAAUUGCAUAUUCUGAACAGUCUGAACAGAGAAUUAAGGAUAUACCAGUAGUCAGUGAGUACCCUGAUGUCUUUCCUGAUGAUCUGCCUGGCUUACCUCCUGAUAGAGAUGUCANNNNNNNNNNNNNNNNNNNNNNNNNNNNNNNNNNNNNNNNNNNNNNNNNNNNNNNAAUGGCCCCUGCUGAACUAAAAGAGCUGAAGGACCAAUUACAGGAGCUAUUGGAUCUGGGUUUCAUUCGACCUAGUGUCUCUCCUUGGGGUGCCCCAGUAUUAUUUGUAAGGAAGAAAGAUGGUAGCAUGAGACUGUGUAUUGAUUACUGAGAAAUCAAUAAGGUGACUAUUAAGAAUAGGUACCCUCUACCCCGGAUCGAUGAUUUNNNNNNNNNNNNNNNNNNNNNNNNNNNNNNNNNNNNNNNNNNNNNNNNNNNNNNNNNNNNNNNNNNNNNNNNNNNNNNNNNNNNNNNNNNNNNNNNNNNNNNNNNNNNNNNNNNNNNNNNNNNNNNNNNNNNNNNNNNNNNNNNNNNNNNNNNNNNNNNNNNNNNNNNNNNNNNNNNNNNNNNNNNNNNNNNNNNNNNNNNNNNNNNNNNNNNNNNNNNNNNNNNNNNNNNNNNNGAUAUUCUAAUAUAUUCAAGGAGUCAGGCAGAGCAUGAGCAUCACUUGAAGAUUAUUUUGAGACUCUGAGGCAGAAUCAGUUGUAUGGUAAAUUAAAGAAAUGUGAAUUUUGGUUGGACAGGGUGAUGUUUUUGGGGCAUGUUAUCUCUAAGGAAGGAAUUAUGGUUGACCCAAAGAAGAUUGAAGCUGUGGUUGAUUGGAGCAGACCGAGUAAUGUGUCUGAGAUUCGCAGCUUCCUUGGACUAGCUGGUUAUUACAGAAGGUUUGUGGAGGGCUUCUCUACUAUUGCUGGACCCCUGACUCGACUCACUCACAAAGGAGUGAAGUUUGAAUGGUCGGAUCAGUGUGAGAAAAGCUUCAAGGAAUUGAAACACCGUCUAGUAUCAGCACCUAUUCUGACCCUACCAGUUACCGGUACUGAUUUUACCAUUUACAGUGAUGCUUCCAAGAAGGGUUUGGGUUGUGUGUUAAUGCAAAAUGGGAAGGUUAUUGCUUAUGCCUCCCGACAGCUUAAGCCCUAUGAAGAGAAUAUCCCACUCAUGAUCUUGAGCUUGCAGCCGUGGUUUUUGCCUUAAAGAUCUGGAGACAUUAUCUUUAUGGAGAGACUUGCCAGGUAUUCACUGAUCAUAAAAGUUUGAAAUAUCUCUUCACUCAGAAGGAGCUGAACAUGAGACAGAGAAGGUGGCUGGAAUUGCUGAAGGAUUAUGAUUUAUCUAUUCAUUAUCAUUCUGGGAAGGCAAAUGUAGUAGCAGAUGCUCUAAGUAGAAAAUCUUCAGGAAAUGUUGCAGCCUUGAUUACUACUCAGAGAAAUAUCCUGGAAGAUCUGAGGAGGGCAGAAAUAGAGGUAUAUCUGCAUGAUGCUACCCUGAAGUUGGCAAACUUACGGGUCCAGCCUACACUCAUUGACAGAAUUAAGGCAGCGCAAGUGGAUAACUCUCGGCUCCAGAAGAUCAAGAAAGACGUUGAGUCUGGAUCUCAGUCUGAUUUUCAUAUACAUGAGGAUGGCUCAUUGAGGUUCAUUAGCAGAGUUUGUGUACCAGAUGAUCCUAGUCUGAAGAAGGAAAUUAUGGAGGAGGCUCACAGUACUGGAUAUACAGUGCAUCCUGGUAGUACAAAAAUGUAUAGGGAUCUGAAAGUUGUGUUCUGGUGGAACAAUAUGAAGAGAGAGAUUGCCCAGUUUGUAUCUCAAUGCUUAACUUGUCAGCAAGUUAAGAUUGAGCAUCAGAGACCAGCUGGUAUACUUCAGCCCCUUCCGAUCCCAGAGUGGAAGUGGGAGCAUAUUACUAUGAAUUUUGUGUCAGGGCUACCUCGUACCCUCAGAGGUAACGAUUCAGUCUGGGUGAUUGUAGACAGAUUGACCAAAUCAGCACAUUUCCUAGCAUUUAAGACUGGGAUGACACUAAAGAGAUUUGCAGAGUUGUACAUUGAACAGAUCGUACGGCUGCAUGGAGUUCCAGUAUCUAUAGUGUCUGACAGAGACUCCCGAUUUGUGGCUCAUUUCUGGGGCAGUUUGCAUAAAGCUUUGGGGACCAUUCUUAGCUUCAGUACAGCUUUUCAUCCACAGACAGAUGGACAGUCCGAGAGGACCAUUCAGAUUUUGGAGGAUAUGCUGAGAGCCUGUUCUAUUGACAUGAGGGGUUCUUGGGAUCAUCAUUUGCCGUUGGUAGAGUUUGCCUAUAAUAAUAGCUACCAGGCAAGUAUUCAGAUGGCUCCUUAUGAGGCUUUGUAUGGUAGGAAGUGUAGAUCACCUAUCUGUUGGGAUGAUAUGGGGGAGAGGAAAAUUCUGGGUCCAGAAAUUAUUCAGCAGACAGUGGAGAAGGUUCAGCUGAUCAGAGAGCGACUUCGGGCAGCUCAAAGCAGACAGAAGAGUUAUGCUGAUAUCAGGAGGCGGGAUCUGGAAUUCCAAAUCGGAGAUCAUGUUUUUCUCAGGGUGUCCCUUCUAAAGGGGUAAUGCGAUUUGGAGUUCGGGGUAAGCUCAGUCCGAGAUAUGUGGGACCAUUCGAGAUUCUCGAGAGAGUUGGAGCUGUUGCUUAUAAGCUGGCACUUCCGCCUGCUUUAUUGGGGGUUCAUUCUGUUUUCCAUGUCUCUAUGUUGAGGAGGUAUAUUGCUGAUCCCAGUCAUAUGAUCGAAGUGGCACCUUUGCAGCUCCGAGCAGAUCUUUCUUAUGUUGAGUAGCCUAUCCGUAUAGUGGAUAGGAAGGACCAAGUUUUUAGGAGGCGCACGAUUUCUUAUGUAAAGGUGCAGUGGAGCAAUCAUAGUGAGAGAGAAGCUACCUGGGAACUGGAGGAGAAGAUGAGAGAGAAGUUUUCUGCCUUGUUCUCUGAUUGAGGAAUGUUUUAAUUUCGAUGACGUAAAUUUUUUUUUAGUUGGUUAGAGUGUAAAGACCUGAAAUUGGGCCCGUCCUUGGGCCUAAUGAACUGAAGUCGGCAAUGGAUGCCGACUUCAGUCUGUUCAUCGUGGUCUUCCCACGAUGACCACGCCGGCCGAACGGCCAGCGGAUUUCCCCCCCUCCCCCGCAAAUCUUUCUCUCUCUCUCUCUCUCCCUCUCCCUCUUUCUCUUCUCUGAGAACCCCAUCCCAGCCCAUCCCUUCCCCCCAUCCCUCUAAAAAAAAAAAAAUCCAANNNNNNNNNNNNNNNNNNNNNNNNNNNNNNNNNNNNNNNNNNNNNNNNNNNNNNNNNNNNNNNNNNNNNNNNNNNNNNNNNNNNNNNNNNNNNNNNNNNNNNNNNNNNNNNNNNNNNNNNNNNNNNNNNNNNNNNNNNNNNNNNNNNNNNNNNNNNNNNNNNNNNNNNNNNNNNNNNNNNNNNNNNNNNNNNNNNNNNNNNNNNNNNNNNNNNNNNNNNNNNNNNNNNNNNNNNNNNNNNNNNNNNNNNNNNNNNNNNNNNNNNNNNNNNNNNNNNNNNNNNNNNNNNNNNNNNNNNNNNNNNNNNNNNNNNNNNNNNNNNNNNNNNNNNNNNNNNNNNNNNNNNNNNNNNNNNNNNNNNNNNNNNNNNNNNNNNNNNNNNNNNNNNNNNNNNNNNNNNNNNNNNNNNNNNNNNNNNNNNNNNNNNNNNNNNNNNNNNNNNNNNNNNNNNNNNNNNNNNNNNNNNNNNNNNNNNNNNNNNNNNNNNNNNNNNNNNNNNNNNNNNNNNNNNNNNNNNNNNNNNNNNNNNNNNNNNNNNNNNNNNNNNNNNNNNNNNNNNNNNNNNNNNNNNNNNNNNNNNNNNNNNNNNNNNNNNNNNNNNNNNNNNNNNNNNNNNNNNNNNNNNNNNNNNNNNNNNNNNNNNNNNNNNNNNNNNNNNNNNNNNNNNNNNNNNNNNNNNNNNNNNNNNNNNNNNNNNNNNNNNNNNNNNNNNNNNNNNNNNNNNNNNNNNNNNNNNNNNNNNNNNNNNNNNNNNNNNNNNNNNNNNNNNNNNNNNNNNNNNNNNNNNNNNNNNNNNNUUUUUGGGAUUUAGUUUACUUGUUCUAGGGUCUAUGUUUGAUUUUGGGGAUCCAUUCUUGGAUCUAUGAACUUAGGAGUUUAAGAGGUUGGAAUUAAUUUAAAUUAUGUUUCUUAAUUAAUUAAAUAAUUAAUAUUUAUGUUUAAUCAGGGGUUCGUGAUAUCUGUGGCAGGGAUUUUUAACGAGCCCAGGUAGGUGACCUAUUGCUUUAAAGUAGAAUUUUAAUAUGUAUCUUGCAUAUGUCGAUGUUAUGAUUUAUUAUUGGCAUUAUGUGUUAGAUUUAGAAUUAAAUAUUUAAUUUCAUAAAUUGUUAUGUGCUUUACUGUUGGGAGUAUGAUUAUGACUUUGAUAUAGAAAGUUGAUUUAUUGAUUUUUAAAAUCCGCGUGACUAUAGUCUAGGCCCCGCCAAUGGGAUGAUACGUUGGCCCUGUCGACUUGUACUGAGGAACUAGUUCCGACACCGCGACCAUCGGUGAUAGAAUAGUGGCGGCACAGGGGUGCGUUUUGCUCUUCGGAGCGGCUCGGUGGAGCGUGAGUUUGGCACCAGGAGGUGCGGCAUAGUGGUGCGUUGGCUCAGUGGAGCAGCUCUUCGGAGAGUUGUAUUGGCACUUCGGUGUAACCAUGCCACUGGGUGAUGUGGCCGUAGUCAUGCGGUUGAGUUAUUUUGAGUCUUGGAUUGGGUUUACGGGUUAUCGUGUGGAUUUUUGGAUUUAUGAGUUUUAGUUGCUUUUCAUAUGUAUCAUGACAUGUUAUAUGAUGACUUUACUGCAUGAUGUUGCCUACUGAGCUGUUAGCUCACUCCUACUAUUUACAUUUUUUUUUACAGGUGAUGAUAUAUGACUAUGGGGAUUACGGGAUGGAGUGAUCAUGAUGUAUUUAGCUAGUGGAUAUUGACUUCUCCUUUGACAUUUGCAUAUGUAGACAUUUGAAUUGAAAGUUGGAAUUUAUCUUUAUUUAGCUAUUGAUGUUGGAUCUGAUCUAUCUGCCUUGCGUGCCUGCGGGGUCCGCCCUGCAGGUGCGCGGCGUCUGCUUGCGCCCCGGGCCCCGGGUUCGGGGCGUGACAUACAUAAUAGAACUCCCACCUAGUAUACAAAAGAGGGCACCAUACGGUACAGAGAUGUGUGCAUGUGAAAGAAGAGUGAGAUAAGGGGGAUGGGAAGAGAGAUACCAAGAACUGUCUUUUGCUAGAAAGGUUGUGCCAAAACGCUGCAAAUAAACAUGCAUGAAAGAGGAGACUAUCCUCUGUUCUCAAAAAAAAAAUGCCAUUUGGUUUACUUCUUCCUUAGUCUUAAAUGUUGUUUGUUGUCAUUAGUAAAACUAGUCCUUUGUUUAUGAUAUUAUUUUAGUCCCAUAAAAAAUCUUCGCACAAAAUGCACCAGUUCCUACAACAUAUUUUCUCAGUCAUAAGACAUUCUGCACCCGUGCACUCUGUUCCUCAUGCAUUAUCCCUCUCCUCACCCUACCAUGUCUCUAAGGGAUGACACAUUAACUUCCCCAUGUCCUGUGAUCCUGGAACUGGGGUUUCCAUACGCUGUCUGAAAACCUCUAAUAAGCGAAAUGCUUUUGAUAUAUAAGCAUAUUUAAAAAGAAUAAUUCAAUGAUACAGGACUGAUAAGUCAAGAAGGGAGAAAGGAAAACAAAUUUCAAACAAAAUAGGGCUAAUUUGAGUGGCGAUUUACCUUUUUGACUGGACUCAUUUGCAGCAAUGACAAAGUUUAAAAUGUAAAUGCAAUAUUGCAACAUCCUAAUCAGUUUUUCCAGAAGGAAAAAGUUCAUAAGUGAACAAGUGGUCAGUUGAAUAUGUGACUCCUUUUCUUUUAAUGCAUACUGGCAAGCUGCACAUCAUGCUAAUAGUAGCUGAAGCAGUUGAUAGGAUAAUAGGAAAAUCUCUCUCUCUCUCUCUCUCUCUCUCUUAGAGACACAAGCAUUGGGUGCUGUUUCGGUACCGGGCUUCGUACUGGUGCCACCCUAUCACUAUGUCGGUAUUGGCCGUACGGAAGCUGGUUCAGCGUACUGAGUGUCGAUACACCUUCUGUACCAUGUACCGGCACCAAACUGGUACAUCCCAUACUAUUCGGUUCGGUAUAGUAUGACGUACCAUAGGUCCUAUAUUAAGAUGAAGAAGAAUAGUUGCUUUUUUGUGAUGUGUUGCUUUAAAUUCUGCAAAAAAAAAGAGUCUAUCCUCUGAAGUUUGAGGACGAAAAACAUUAACGAGAACUCAGCCAAAUCCAAAGUUUGAGGUCUAACAUUAUUAGCAUAUACACUAUGUUUUGCUAUUUCGAAAGGAAGAUAUAAUGGGAAUCGAUACAUCUAUCUUUUGCCUUCAACUUUGUUGACAGAGAGGAGCAUCAAGAGGAGUAUAUAUGUUAAGAAAUGGAGCGUGUUUAUAAUAGGACUCGAAAGUUUUAAAUACCAUUGGAUAGGGUUGUCCCAGUUUUUCCAUGAAACAGGACACCCUGUAUACUGACAUUCAGGAUGGUGGAUGCCCCAUCCCGUCCCGGUCUAUUUCCCGACUUCCAGUCUGAACACCUGGGAUGGGGGGAUGCCCCACUAUCCAAUUGGUAUUUAAAACCUUAACAGGACUCACAGGAAUAGAGUUUUUCAUCUAGAGAAAAGCCCUUCCUGCCAAUGCCACAGAAUUUUCAGCUUCAGAUUGAAAAGAUCAGUACAGUUAUAAAAAUAUACCAGAAAAAAUAUUCUUUUAACUAAAUACUAUCAGAUUUUUCCAUGUUUUCUGAGCUUUACACCAUUGUAAAUGCAACCAUAUAUGACCUUCGAAGAGCUUAGGUAGUCAUGCAGACAUAAAGUGCAAAAAAUGAGAUAAAAAGAAAAAACAAAGGGGGAAAACAUACAUAUCAACAGAAUAAAAUGCACCAAGCAGAGCAUAAACAUGUCUAUAAGGCAAUAAGACAACCUUAUAUGCAUUAAAAUAUUUGUUAUGUUUAGCAUCUUAUCAUCAAGUUAUUUUUGGCAUGUCAUUAUCAAGUUAUACAUUCUAAAAGCAAUCUAACAUUAGAAGACAUAUUCAUGACUCAGGCAUAAUUUAAGAAUUAGUACCUCGUAAACGGUAGGCAACACUUAGGUUGUGCAUAAAAGGAUAGACUAGAAGCCGUUCGGAUGCUGUUGUACAAUACCCAAUUAACCUUAGAAGAUUUCUGUGCACAGCUACACUUAUCAAUUCAACUUCAUGCAAAAAAGCAGCUUCCCCUCCAGGAGUUCCAUGAUUGGUCAGCCGUUUUACUGCAAUUUUUGUAUUGUCUGCAAGCAUUCCCUUGUAUACCUUCCCGAAACCUCCCUUCCCAAGAACAUUUCUCUCAUUGAAGCUAUCUGUUGCUAUUUGUAGUUCAUGCCAUCCAAAUAUUUUCAGUUGUCCAAAUGCAAUUUUAGGUUCAUUUUGCCCUUAAUAUCAAAGUAAGAAAUAAAUCAUCAGAAAUCAAGUACAGCAUCGGUUAACAGAAGAAUUGAACUUUCAGCUCAACUACCAAAUAUGUGCACCAACACAGUAACUCUGACCAACAAACUUUACCUAUCUGUGAUGAAAGUAAAUCAAACACCAAAAGUUUUCAGACAUUUCUAUGCAAAACAACUAAAUGGUUUUCUGUCUAUUUUUAAUGAUGAUGCAAAAGAAUUGAAAAACCAAAAUGAUAAGUAAAAUGAUUGAUCGGAUGCAACGAAGAGUAACAGCAUGUAAGAAACUUCUGAAUACAGAACAGGUAUGCGGUGAUACUAAAUUGAGAUGGUUCUUCAAAACAAGUUCAACUAAAUCAAGCAUUAAAAUAAAAAAAUAAUUUACAGAAUAAACAGACCAAAGACCUGCAACAUCAACAAAAACUUCGUUUCGACGACUUUUCAUCCUACUCUUCCAUUUAAGAUAUAGAACCCCUGCAAGAAGAAGAACUAUUACUCCAAUGCUUCCACGCACCACUUCCACCUUUACAUGAUUGGAUCCUUCUGCAAAGAUUAUGACAAGUCAUGAGGUAUGAUACCCAGAACCAAAAUAAAGAAAUGAUCAAAUUGGCUUACUUUGAUCAGAUACAAUGGAUACACAAGGAUGUAAGUUCGUGCCACAAUUUAGACGGUUACCAGUAAAACUGCACAAAGUACCAAAACAAAAUAAACAGCUGACAUUGGAAACAUGAAACAAUAUGGAUCUCAUAAUAUUACUUUAAAGUGAUCGCAUCCAUAUCUAAUAUUAAAGAGAAUUGACCAUACUUGUAUCUGGAAAAUUUAAAUAGUCGGUCGGGUAUCUGACCACUAAGAUCAUUGAAUGCAAGACUACUGCCAUAACAGAUAAAUUGCUGUUAAUUUAAAAUAUAUAAAGCGGAAAUCUAGUUGUAGCAUUUAUGUGCGCAUGCGUGCAUGAGUGCUGUGUGUGUAUAAAUACAUACUUAAAUAAACACAAAUAUACAUAAAUGAUGAUCAGAGAUAAUGAUUGUGAUGGCCUGGUCAAGGCCCGGUCCUCUUGACCAUCCUGACCCGAGCUUGGCCCAGCCCAAGCUUACAUCAAAAAAAAAGGUAAAACAGAAAGGAAGACUCCCAUCUGUCCGGCUCACGAUGGGAGUCGACUUUCGAGAGCCAAAGGAGGCUUGUCUCCUCUAUAUAAGCACCUCCCCACCUCUCUUGGUCCUCCACCGGCGAUCAUCGAGCUCCUUUCUCUCUCUUUUCUCCCGUCGAGUUCACGGUUGCAUGUCUUCGUGUUUGCCGGAAAUCAAGGCUGCCGGACGCCUCCAAAGCCGAGGUAUUGCCCUAGCGUUCCUCCCUUUUCCUUCUUCUUCCUCCCACGACCCGACAUCACGGCCGCCAGCCGAGAAAUCGACUGGAAACCGCUCGAGAAAAAGGAUUCUCUAUUUUGCUCUAUUUCACCUCCUCUCUUUUUCCGACCACCAUUGCCGCCGACGUUCGUCACCGAGGGCCUUGGCCCCUUCCUUGCAUCGGCCCCAAGCCAAAGCCAAAAAGCAGGCUGGAAUUCGAAUGACCGAGCCAAUAAAUCUCCUUCUCGACCUUGUUUUUAGUUUGAUUUUUGGACGUCCAGCCGCCGCCGCCGGUCGCCCUCCACCUCAUGUCUCCAUCGCCUGCUGCCGCCCGCCGGACCUCGACCACGGCUGCCACCUUGAACCACCCACUUGCUUCCAAGAAAGAAGAAAGAAAGAAGAAAGAAAAGAAGAAAAAGAGGAGAGAGAGCCAUCCCUCUCUUUUUUUUCUCUCUUCCUUCCCUCUCAUCUCCUUUUUUUUCUAAGAAGACUCAUGGACCUAUGAACUGGUCCUAUCUUCCUGUCUUAUGGACCCGGGUGGACCCCCACAAAGAGGCCCUGAAUUGCCCUGGUGCCUGGUGCUUGGGAUGUCUACUGGACCGAUCAUCCCAGCCUUGUUAAGUAUUUCUGAAAUUCAUUGAUGAUAAACCCUGUCGAACGACCUUGGCCCUGAUCGAGUCCAUACCCCAUGAUUUAUUGAUUGAGUUGCUUAGACCUAACCUGUCUGGAGCUACCUGACCAACUGUCUUCUUUUCUUAUUGUUUUAAUUUAACUAAAAUCAUCGAACAAAAAUUAAUUUUACUUUUAAUAUUUUUAAAUAGGGUUAACAGAUUUGCCUAGUAAAGUUUGACGGUUUAAAACAAAAGAAGUAAAUCUUAUACUCUUUACUAGUUUUCGAACUUGUCAGUAGAUCUUACAUUCUUUAUUUUUCAAAUGAUCAUAUUUUUCGCGCAUAAAAUUUGCUUGUGGAAAUAUCAUGCUUUUUUUAAAAUUAUGAAUUAACAUAUGUGUUAUGAAAAUCAUGCUUUAUUAUGAAAAAUAGUUUCAUAAAUAUUUUAAUGAAAAUAGCUUUUCCACAAGCAAAUUUUAUAUACGAAAAAACAUGAACAUUUGAAAAAUAAAGAGUAUAAGAUCUACUUACAAGUUCGAAAACUAGUAAGGAGUAUAAGAUUUACUUAUCUCUUUUGUUUUAGACCGUCAAACUUUACUAGGCAAAUCAGUUAACCUUAUUUAAAAACAUUAGAGGUAAACUAAUUUAUGUUCGAUGAUUUCAAUCAAAUUAAAACAAUAAGAAAAGGAGAUGGUUGGUCAGGUGAUAAUGUUCAGCGACUCCGGACGAGUCAGGUCUAAGCAACUCAAUCAAUGAAUCAUGGAGUAUGGACUCAAUUAGGGUCAACAUCAUUCAACAGGGUUCAUCAUCAAUGAAUUUUAGGGACACUUAACAAGGCCAGGAUGAUUGGUCCAGUAGGCAACUUGGGCACUAUGGCAAUUCAAGGCCUCUUUGCAAAAGUCCACCCAAGGAGAUAGAACUCAGUUCAUAGGUCCAUGGGUCUACUUAGAGAGAGAAAUAAGGAGAUCAGAGAGAAGAGAGAGAAAAUAAGAGAGAGAAAAAGAAAGGGAUGGCUCUCUCUCCUCCUCUUAUUCUUCUCUUCUUUCUUUCUUCUUUUUUUUUCCUUUUUGGAAGCAAGUGGGUGGUUCAAGGUGGCUGUCGUGGUCGAGGUCCGGCGGGUGGCAGCAGGCGGUGAAGACAUGAGGCGGAGGGUAGCUGGCUGCGGUGGUCGGUCAUCCAAAAAUCAAACUAAAAAUAGAGCCAAGAAGAAGAUUUAUUGGCUCGGUUGCUCUCGAAUCCCAGCCCACUUGCCGGUGGGUGGGGUUCUAGCUUUGGCUUGGGGCCAAUGCAAGGAAGGGGCCGAGGCCCUUGGCGACGAACGCCGGUGGCGAUGGUGGUCGGAAAAAGAAAGGAGGUGAAACAGAGCAAAAUAGAAAAUCCUUUUUUUCGAGGGGUUUCUGACCGAUUUCUCAGCUGGUAGUCAUGAUGUCGGGUCGUGGAAAGAAGAAGAAGAGAAGGGGAGGAAGGCUAGAGCAUUACCUCAGCUCUGGAGGCAUCCGAUGGCCCUAAUUUCCGGCAAACACGAAGACAAGCAGUCGUGAACUCGACGGGAGAAAAGAGAGAGAAAGGAGCUUGAUGAUUGCCGGUGGAAGACCAAGAGAGGUGGGGAGGUGCUUAUAUAGAGGAGACAAGCCUCCCUUGGCUCUCGAAAGUUGACUCCCACUGGGAGUCGGACGGAGAAGAAAACUUCGGAUGGGAGUCUUUCUCUCUGUUUUACUUGGUUUUUUUUAGAUGAGAGCUUGGGCUGGGCCAAGCUCAGGUCAGCCUGAUCAAGUGGAUCGGGCCUCGAUCCAGCCAUCACAAUGAUGAUCGUAUGAGUAUAAAUAUAUUUUUUUAUCAUUGCAAACUUCUAUACAUGUUUAUUGUCAUCACUGAUAAAACUUACACGUCAGAUAAGUUUGGGAGAUUUGAAAGAGAAUCAGGGAUACUUCCACUGAGGUCAUUUUGGCUCAAUAUCCUGCUUACCAUGUCACAAAAGUGCAAUUUCAGAUUAGGCUAGGGCUUCUCUAAGGUCAAUAUCAACAGCAUUUUUUUUUAUUUGCUGAGUAUAAAACCUUACUUACAAGUUUUCAAGUUUAGUCAGCUUGCCAAGAGUUUUUGGUAUCUCUCCACUCAAGUGGUUAUUUUCCAAAUUCAAAAUUGUCAAUCUUGACAAAUUUCCAAACUCCUCAGGAAUUUUGCCAGUUAUAUUGUUACCUGGGAACGACCUGCAUGAAUUAUGCAGCUUGAAAUAAUUACUUGCAUAAGGUCAGGUGCCAUUUCUGAAUAUCUACAUGUUAGUGAAUGAGAGAGGAGGGGGGGAGAGGGGGAGGAGAAGGACAUCAGGUACUAGAUGUCAACAAAACUCAGUCAUAGUUUCAUCAUUGUUAGAUAGAGAGUAUCCUUUAUGAAGUAAGAAAGUCAACAAUGUCACUAUGCCUGGGCACCAAGAAGAUAGGAGGAAUGUACUUCAAAAAUAUCAACUGAAUCUAUAAAAUUUCAUGUAGUCAUCUGUCAAUUUCAUAUGUAUUUUUCAACUUGAUAGAACUCGAAGAAGACAUCAAUAUCUUCAUCAAAUACUUAUACUUACAGUCCUUUAAGAUAUGAGAGUUCUCCAAUUCUAGGGGACAAGGUUCCAGUGAACCCAAUAGAAGGAAAUGAUCUGCAACAAAGCACAUCGAAAUGAAUUUGGUAGGCACUUAACUGAGAUGAGAAAGUUAGUUUUAAUACAAACUCAAAAAUCUAGGAAAUGAAGACGAGAGAUAUAGAUAAAAAAUCAAAAAAUAAAUAGAAGAAACUAAAAAAAAAGCUUACAUUUGCACAACAUCAUCACCAUCACAGUUAACAGAAGAAACAAAUAGAAGAAACUGAAAAAUAAACCUACAUUUGCACAACAUCAUCACCAUCACAGCUAAUAUACAUCCAUGCGCAUGGACUGACUUGAUUUUGGCUCCAACCAGAAAGCUGAUUAUCAGAAGCUUUAAGUGUAAGCUUCAAGUCUAUUAGCACAUCAACUGGAAAAAUUUGAAAUGACUAAUUAGUGUUCCUACAAAAAAGGGUAGGAAAAGAUAAAAAAAUAAAAAUACUAUGAAAAACAGGAGAUGGACUUGAACAUAGAUCUAAAGCAGUUCAUUAACAUUUUCCUGGAUAAAGUCAGUAUUCAGUAUUCACAUCCUGUGAAAAUAAACAUAAACAACUAGGUAAUGGACAUCCAAACAAGGCAAUCUUUUAUUCAUGUGCAUAGAAUUUUCUAUGUGACAGUUGAGUUUGCUGUCUGUCGAGGGUUUUAAGAACAGAGAACUCGUCCAUCUUAGUGGGUUGCCAAGACUGAGAUAUCGGUUAGUCUCAGCCAAGAUAGAAAGUUACGCAAAAUGGGAAAAGACAAAGAUUUGUUGAGAUCUCAGCCAACAUUAUAGGGACCAAUAUGCUGAUAUCUAGGUUAAUAUGUGAGACUAAUUGCCAGUUUACAACAUCAAUCAGAAUAUUUGAUAAUUAAUAUAAAUUUAAAACUUUAAAAGACUGAUUCGGAAAUCUGUGCUAAUAUUUAAUAUCAUAUUGUGCAAUAUAUCAGAAAUCAGAUUAUACCAGUUUAUAUCAUCAGAGAAUAUCAGGACAGGGAUACUGAUGACAUAGUAUUGGUGAGUAGCCAAUACCAGAAAAAAACUAAUAUCCUUGGCCAUGAUAAAAGCCUUCCUGUUUGGAUUUCCUUCACUAAGAUGCCCUCCCUAUCAAGUAUGGCAUCAUGGGCACAGAAAGGUAAUGCUCGGAUGCAACACAAGCAUGGCCAGAUGGGAUGUGAUUGCAACAUGAUGCAGGUGACAGUUCAUUCAGAACAUAGCCUAGUCCUAAACAUCUGACUAUAAACCUGAGUCUUGGUCAAUAGUACUUGCAAACAUCAAAGGAUGCACCACUGUGGAGUGGCAAUAUCAGUAGGUUAGGCAAAAAUUUUAAUCAGAAAAGCUAAAUAUAAUUAGAAAAAUGAACAAAGAAACUACAAGGAAAAUGAUAUGGCAGGUGACCUGCCAUAUCAUUUUAAAGAGAACAAACACAUGGAAGACCUAUGGGAUCGUGCAACUGUCCAAAUUGACAUAUGCUACUGCUCACCUUUAUAUGACAUGGCAGGUCAUAAUAUGCUGAGAACUGACACAUACAGUCAUAACACACAAUAUUGAGAAAACUUAUAUAAGAAGUCAUCUAGCCCCUUUUUGACUUUCAUCCAAGUCCCCUUCGCCUACCCCCUCUCCUAUCUUUUACAUGAAUGAAAAUUGAUAGCCCCACAUCCCACUCUCUCCACUUGGGAGCCCUCCCCUCCCUCUUAAACCCAUCCCCACCUUCCUUAGUGGCACUUUUUAUGGGUAUAAUGCACACAAAUCAUCUAAUAUAGUCUUCUCUCACUUCAUUGUGCCAUUCCUAAAUAUCUGCUAUCAAAUUUAUUUCCAACUCUACCUUUAGUCUUACAAUACAUGCAUCUCAUCAUUCAAUUUAUAUGCUGGUUAUCUAUCAUGUACUGUUUAUUGUUCGGCAUUCAAAUCCAUAUAAAGCUGGCAUAAUGAAUAUUUACUCAUUUACCUAUAAUAUCUAAUUGGUACUUCACUAUUGCAAAACCUUCAGGAGGAAUGUUUUAAAAACUUUCCCUAAAACCUUAACAUAUUUAAUGAAAAUGAAAAUUCCGAUUUCCAUUUUGGACAACAUGAUGAAUAGAGGUCUUAAAUAAUGCUCUUCUGUUUUAAAACAAGGAUCGUCUGGUCAUAUCAACUUGAUAGAUGGAGACCUUAAGAAUAUAUCCGAACAGGUUAAAAGCCUAAAAAGGGGAAAGAUUAGUCAAUCAAGACAGCAAUGAAUGAUUCUCUAAGAAUUCCUCAAAAUAAACACACAAAUCCACCAAUGUAACAAUUGGAACUCAGGAAUAGGUAAAAUAUAUACACCAGAGAGGGGUAUUAGAAAGUUGAACUUGAGCGAAACCCCCUUAAGCAUUCUCAGACGUACAUUUGACAUGCAAAACUGCUUACCAUUUGCCAGAACUACUAAAAUAGGCAUAUGUUACAUGUAAAGAAAAAAUAAUCAAAAUAAUGCACAUAUGCAUAAGAAAGUGACCAAUUUCCAAAUACAAAGACAAUGCUAAUUACAUGCCAAGGGUCACCUUAUACAUAAGUAUCUAAAAAAAAUGUAAAGUAGACAGAAAAGAAAACAAAAUUACCUUGAUCAGUAGAUGCAACAAAAGAAUGCAGAGAGGCCAGCAUAUUCAUUACAAAAGCCAACUUCAUCCUCUUUUUUUCUAACAUUACUCUCACUUGAAAAAUGAUCAAGAAUAAAUCCUCUUAAAGGAAGAAAGUCUCCUACAUAGCCAUGUGAUCAAGAAAAAUAAUUAAAAAAGUAAGAGACAAGUCAGGAUGCACUUGAAAGAUGGAUUAUUACACUUAUAUUUUGAACUAGCUAUUCGAGUUGAGCCCUUACUGAUGGCAGAUAGAGAAGUCACAAUGAGAGAACCUGUCAAAAAGGUUGAAUUUGUUAUAUACCCAAGGUAUUAAUUUUCAGCAGAAGCUGAAUCUGUUUCGGGCAAAAAGGAUGGGUAUCUGCAGAACAGGUGCAAAAUUGACUGAAAUUUUCAGUUCCAGUCAGUUUCAACAAGUUUCAGCUGAAACCAACCAAAACUAUGAUUUCCUUUCAAAAGCAUGUUGUUGGGAAGAUUUUAUAGACAUCAAGGUACCAAAUGGCUAUAAUACUAUAUAGCCGUUUUGGAAUAAAAAUAAGAUGUACAAAUAUUUGCUAUUGUAAGUCAUUUAAAUAUAACACUAGCAUAAAGAUGCAAGUAGAUAAUCAUAAUGACACUGUUUAUAACAAUCAGUAGGUGAGUAGCUAUUGUUUAAUCAAUAUUUUGAAAUUCAACAAAGAUUCUUAUGCAGCUGUAAAACAAAAGGUUGUAUUUUUUCCCUGCAAGGUCUCCUUGAUGUUACCACAUCAUCAAUGAUCUAGAGCUAUGAUAGGCUAUUGUUUUCAUGGUCUUAAUUUGUUGAUCAUAUAGGAAGUACAGCAAGCAAUUUGAUUUAAUUUAUAAUGCCAAAAAAGGUGAUGCACUAGAAAGUUGUAAGAAAGCUACAGCUCAAGAGCUACCUAUCUUUGGUGUCAUGAUGAUAAUGAACAUUAAUGUAAACACAGACAAUAUCAUUUGAUUGUGAUGAUUCGUUAACAAGAACCUGCCAUUGGCUAAGAUAAUCAUUAUUGUAAUUAAGUUAAAUUAGGUAAUUGGUGAAUUGACAGUACCAUUGGUCCUAUUGCAGUCAAUCUAAGAUAUUAACUGAACAUAAGCAAAUUGUCCCAAGCAUGUGCCAUAACAUGGACUUGUUAUUCUCCUGCCCAAAAUCCAAAUGCCUAUAUAGCAUUUGAAUCACCUUUCAUAGUUUAGUGUUUGAUGACUAUUCUAACAAUUCCUUGGAGCUUCAAGGCAAGACCAUGAUUCUAUUUGGGCUUUAGUCCCAUAUGGAACAAUGAAGCAAGAAAAGAACUUUUAUUGCCUCUUAUAGUACAAUACAUUCAAUUUACAAAUUGAUUAAAAAAAUGCUAGGUUCUACCCUUGAUACAAGAAAAUAUUUGGGUAAACUUUCAGCUUAAAACCACCCGAAAUCCACAAAUUCUGAUCCUAGAUAACUUAAACCAAACUAAACUGACAUGAAAUGACAUGUCUUUAUUUUUUGUAUAAUUUUCUCUAUUCUUGGUAUUUUAUUCUGAUUUUUUUAGCAAGACUAUGAAACUUCCAGACAAACCACCGAAACUGCUGGAAGCCAAAAGUCUACCCAGGGAAUGGGAAUGGAAAUUGAAACCAAGUAUUAAAACAUUCUAUCUUUUUAAGACACUUUCCUUGAGGCCACAUGGAAGAAUGUUUCAUGUGAUGAACAGGAAUCAGUAGGAAAAGAGAGAUGGUUGAAUGUUUCACUCAAAAAUAUCUUGAUAUGCAUAAAUGUCGAUUUUGUAUGAGUUAAGGGCCUUAAGGCAGUACUUCUAAGAUAAAUUAGUAAAAGGAGCUGCAGAUCUAACCCAAGCUGAGUAAAAUAACAAGCAUAAAAUCCCUUACCAAACCAUUGAAACAUAUUAUUCUGAUGUAGAUACAAAAUCGGGUCCCUUCACCACAUAUUGUAUAAUCCAAAAUCAAUGACUAGGAUCGAAACUUGGCUAUCGUUGUAGAUUUUUGAUUGAUAAGGCUUUUGAUUGAUGUGGUAUCAGAUAGAAGAGUGGUUUAUCUUGGGAGAUGCUGACCAUCUAAGGUUGCGCAGCUGGCAAAUAACGGUUCUUUAGGGACAGGGAAAAUGCACAUCAGAGCCCCACCAGUAUAUCAUCUUUGUUCCUCUCCAAUCAUGGCACCACGUUUCUAAAUUCUCAUUCACAUCACAUGGCCUGCACUCAUGAAUGCUUUGGAGAUUUUUUCCUUAUCAGUAAAUAAGCAAUUGUAUAAUAUCAUAAUAUCCAUUAAUUUGCUGAACAAGUUUGUGAGCUCUAUGUCAUGAAGGAUGCUUCCCCUUAGUCUUCACUAAUUAGGGCAAAUGUAAAGCGCAAGCUCAGUAAAAUAAUAUGUCUUCCUACCCUUAAUAUCUGGCCAAGUCUGGGUUGUUAGCCAGGAGAUGCUGGCAAAGAAAAGAGAAAAUAAGAAGACACACCAUGCAUGGUCAGCCAUCAAGAAUAAACCACAAUAUACCAACACAUUUUUUUCAAACAUCUACGAGUAAAUGCACAAAAAUGGUAUGUUAUCGGCAUAAUAAGGGUCUAAAUCCCUAGAUGGUUAAAGAAAUGCUUCCUCCUACACUAAAUCAAUUGCAAGAAAUGGAACUUUACCUGGACUAUUGAACGCAUACAUCAAAUUGAUACGAGGAGUUUUCUCCUGUGCCUAUUAAUAAGAGUGGGAAUCCGAAUCAUCGAUAAUAUUCUAAAAAUUCCAUUGCUCUCUGCAAGGGGAAAUUUUUUCAUAAGAAUCAAAUCCCUAGAAGGAAACAUCAAUUCCACAGAAAAACCAAAAGCCACUGUCUAUGAAGCACCAAACCAAACCAAGAUAUCAGAACAGGAGGGUUUCCAGUGACUUCUAUAACUCUGUUAGCUAAAACAUCAGUUCUAGUGCUACCCGAAAACCGACAGCGGACAAGAGUCCAACAUUUCAAUUCCAACAAUAAUCUACGAUUUGUGCAAGAACCGAUAGAUAUAAAGAAAGAAGGAAGCACGAUGAUUCAGAUUCAUAGAAAAACGAAAGAAACUGAAAGAGUGAAGAAGUUUACCGCCACCCGGGGGAGGAUGGACCGAAAACUUACAAAGGAUUAAGAGGGGUAGUUCUAUAUACACCCCCCCUANNNNNNNNNNNNNNNNNNNNNNNNNNNNNNNNNNNNNNNNNNNNNNNNNNNNNNNNNNNNNNNNNNNNNNNNNNNNNNNNNNNNNNNNNNNNNNNNNNNNNNNNNNNNNNNNNNNNNNNNNNNNNNNNNNNNNNNNNNNNNNNNNNNNNNNNNNNNNNNNNNNNNNNNNNNNNNNNNNNNNNNNNNNNNNNNNNNNNNNNNNNNNNNNNNNNNNNNNNNNNNNNNNNNNNNNNNNNNNNNNNNNNNNNNNNNNNNNNNNNNNNNNNNNNNNNNNNNNNNNNNNNNNNNNNNNNNNNNNNNNNNNNNNNNNNNNNNNNNNNNNNNNNNNNNNNNNNNNNNNNNNNNNNNNNNNNNNNNNNNNNNNNNNNNNNNNNNNNNNNNNNNNNNNNNNNNNNNNNNNNNNNNNNNNNNNNNNNNNNNNNNNNNNNNNNNNNNNNNNNNNNNNNNNNNNNNNNNNNNNNNNNNNNNNNNNNNNNNNNNNNNNNNNNNNNNNNNNNNNNNNNNNNNNNNNNNNNNNNNNNNNNNNNNNNNNNNNNNNNNNNNNNNNNNNNNNNNNNNNNNNNNNNNNUGCCGGCAACGAGAGGGAGAAGGGGAACGGGGGUUUGGCGUUGGCGAGGUGUUUUGGAGGGGAAGAGCGGGUGGGGGUUGGGGUGUAGAGAGCAAUUUAGGUGAGGGGUGGGAGGGUGGGGGUAAUUUAGGAAUUUUGAAUUUUUUAGGGGUGUCCUUUGCAAAUAGGGGGGUGUAGAGAGUAUUUAAUUUUUUUUAAUUUUUGGGGGGUGUCCUGAGCAAUAGGGGGGGUGUAUAUAGAACCACCCGAUUAAGAGGCUGCUAUCGUAAAUAAAUAUAGGGACAGCUAUCGUAAGCAGUAUGAUACGGGAUGCCAACCAGCCACAGAAAAUGUCCUAGACUACGUGGCAGACGGAGAUCGAUGAGAAAACGACAAUUCGUGGUCUUAGAAAGUACGAAAAAUUUAGCCAGGUGGAGAUUGUGCGACUCUCCGGCGCCUCAUAUGCCUUCCAAGCACGGCAAGACGGAAGGGAUAAAGGCCGGCGAAGACCAGGUUCCGACACUUUCCUCUUCUACAGGGACACAAGAUAGACUUACGAAAGGAGACUGAAGCCGUGGACCAGUGGGCCCCACACAAAAUCUGUGGUCUAUUUUGAGGCUGGUGGAAGGACGAUAGCUUGCGCAGGAUUUGGUUAUUUUACGAGGGUGCAUGAUAGGGGAGGGAAAAUUGGUCCGCGAAGAAAGGCUGGUUUUUUUUAUUUAUUUAUUUUGAUCCAGCGGCUCCUCACAGUACGCAUGCACUAGUGCAGCUAAUUAAAAAAAAAAUUAAGUAAAAGUUGGUGAAAAAAAAAAACUACAAAAUUUUUCUAAAAUGAUAAACAAUAUAAGAGGCAACCCAGCCAAUACCACUGCUCACUUUUCGAUGUACAUAAAAGAAACCAUAUUAAAAAAAAGGCAUUUUUUUAUGAAGCAUAUCACUGGCAUGAAUCCUGAGAAAGAUGCAUUAAGUUGUCUUUGAAAAGAGUUAUGAACAUGCUAUAUUUUUCAUUGUUUAGGCGUUGUUCAUCAAUGCUUUCCUAAAGAAAAGCAUAUCACUAGCAUGAACCUUAAGAAAGAUGCAUUAAGUAAUCUUUGAAAAGAGUUCUGAACAUGCUAUAUUUUUCAUUGUUUAAGCGUUGUUCAUCAAUGCUUUCUCAGUAGUGGUCCAUAAGAGACGUAGUAUGCACUCGCUCAACUUAGGAAAUUCACAUUCAUCAAGAGGAAUUUCUGGUUGACUAAUUAAUACACCAAGCACAUAGAGUAGCAAAGCAAGGCCUGCUAUGAUUACAUAUAAUGUUUCUGCUAUUCGGUUGUCCAAAACAGUGACAAAAUUAUUAUUUUUUUUUGUUAUGGUCAUUUAAUUAAGGUAGUUGCACGUGUUGCUCUUGCCCUAUUGUUGUGAAGUGACAUCUUUACUAUUAUAUUCGGUGUCUUGAAUUUAAGAUAUUUAUUAAAUUGCCUUUUCUCAAACAGUAUAACUCCUUGCCUCCGUCUUAGGGAGCUUCAAUCCUCUCUGCUCCAGAAAUCUUUUCUUUUUUCUCUGCCACACGCAAUACAUGUGCAAUUAACUACAUGAGAAAAAUGGUUGGAGAAUAAAAGAAUGAAAAACAAAAUAUUAGGCUAUAGCCUGGUGGGUGUGCUUCUUCGUGGAAAGGAGAUUGGUUUAAUACUGAUAGCGCUCGAAUUAAAUAAAAAAAAGGACAAGCUCCACCAAACUUAAAAAGAAUAUGAAGGGAUAGAACAGGCUUAGGAUCCGAAGGACCCUGUCCAAAAGAUGCAAGAAAGCAGAGGUGUCAAGAGUUCAUUGAAGGAGAUAGUUUAGGGGAUAGCAAGAUGGAAGUAGGCUGGCUCGCACUUUGUUGAAGUGGCUUUCCACGAGAGGAAAAGAGAUAAGGCCUCGUGUCGAACGUUCCUAAAGUUUUUCCUGCAAUUUUCAGAAAGUCAAUAUUGGGGGUGCUAUGCUCUAAUACUCUACAUAAAUAAUUUUAAUUUUUGUCUCCUUUACCGUUGUUCCAGAGAAGAAGAUGAGAAAGGCAACAAAGAAAAAGAGAAAAAAAAUCACUAGAAGGAGACAAGAAAGAAGCGAAACUUCUUGAUUGCCUUAUAGUUGUGAAUAUGGCUGGCGGAUUGCCAUUGUUGGAAAUGCUAAAUUUGGUUAGUUAAGUGAUUCAAUUUCUUUGCAUGAUAAGGUUCGCUUGAAUUUCUGUUCUUAAAACAAUUCGAUCGAUUUGUUCAACUAAUACUUUGAUCCAUCUUGCUCUAGUUGCACUCUUGUGAGACUCUGCGAUGGUAUUGCUUAAGUGAUUGAAAUUAUAAAGUUUUAGGAGUAUUGAUUGGAGAAAAUAAUAUACCAAUCGAAUAUUAGCAAUCGGCAUAUUUUGUUUUUAAUAAUUUACAAUUACACCAACAUAUUGUUUCAUUAGACAUUUUAUCAUCCUUUGGCUUAGAAGUAGGUAAUGAGCAGAGAAUUCUUUAAACAAUCUAGUAAUUUUUUAACUUUAAAAUUUAUGAAUUCGUAAAUUUUAAGACUUUUCAUACUCAUCAUUUCUUGUUCUUCUUUUUGAAAAUUUUCUUUCCCCUUUUUUUCUUUUAUUUUAAAACUAAAGAAAAAUUAUAAACAAAACAUGAAAGCAUCUCUAGAAGAUAUUUAAGUUAGUCACCAUCAGAAUAUGUCCAAUUUUUUCAUUUUGUGAGUUCAGGAAUGCUCAAUUACCCUCUCCAUUCAAAAUAGCCAUUUGCUAGUAGUAAACUCUAACUAUACCUUACAAUAAGAAAUCAUACAACUAUUAGCCGGUGUCCCACUUUGGCAUCUUUCUGCUCAUAUUGUUAUUUAUAUUAUUAUUCUUACACCAAAGUGAGAAAAAUAAAAAGAAAUGAAGAGCAAUUAUUGAGGAAUAAAGACCGGAAGCUUCCAACCAUCUCUGAUCCAACGGUUGUUUGGACACACACCUGAACCAGCAAACACCAGCGGAUCUCGAAUCCGAUCCUCUCUCCAAUCAGAAAAAAGAAAAAAAAAACCAAAGAAAAAGAAAGGGCCCCCAAAUUCCCCAUCGCCUAUUGGCCACCUCCUCCCUCGCCGCACCAACCCCCCACCUCGGAACCCCAACGCGCCCAGCAUCAGAUCAGAGAUCCGAUCUCCGGCCGGCCGCCGCUGUCGCGGAGAUGGCCCGGUGCCUCAGCUUCACCGCCGCGAGGGACCGGUGCUACGACCGCAACUUCUCCGCCGCCGGGCUCCGCUCGACCGCCACCGUCCUCGGAGACGGCGCCACUGUCCACUGCUGGGUCCCCAAAUCCCCCGACCCCGCCCGCCCCCCGCUCCUCCUCAUCCAUGGCUUCGGCGCCAACGCCAAGUGGCAGUGGGCCGGCUACGUCCGCCCCUUCCUCCGAUCUGGCUUCGACCUCUACAUCCCCGACCUCCUCUUCUUCGGCGGCUCGGAGGCCCCCGGGCCGGACCGGUCGGAUGCGUACCAGGCGCGAUGCCUGGCGGCGGCCAUGGAGGCGCUAGGGGUGCGGCGGUUCGGGGUCGUGGGGAAUAGCUACGGGGGGUUCGUGGCAUACCAGAUGGCGGCGAUGUUCCCAGAGGCGGUGGAGCGGGUGGUGCUCAUCUCCGCCGGCGUCUGCCUCGAGGAGCGGGACCUCGCCGCCGGCCUCUUUGUCGUCUCCGACGUCGCCGAGGCCACCAGCAUCCUUCUCCCCCAGCGGCCGAACAAGCUCCGCCAGCUCGUCCGUCUCUCCUUCUGCAACCCGCCACGUGUCAUGCCCUCCUGUUGUAUCUGGGACUACAUCCAGGUCACCGCACAUACUCAACACCCAUUACAACCAAUGUUUUUUUUUUUUUCUGAAUUCUUUCUUUUAAAGAGGCUGCCAUUUUACAAUAAUCUCGUUUCACGUGUUUUAGUUAUUAGAGUUGCUUGACCACAUUGGUUUUGCACUUUGAGAUCUAUAUGUCAGGUUGGAUGGCAAAACUUAGUUUCAUAAUUGUAUGGAGUUGAUAGUAAGCUACUAGAAUUGAAGAGAUUACUUUUUAUUUUUUUAAAAAAAAAAUCUCACUCAAUACUGAUUUUUAAAACUAAUUAUGAGUCGAAUUUUGAAACCAUCCACGGUUCUUCCAUUUUGUACUCUUUGUAGUGUCUAGUUAGGUUAUUUAGAUAUUAUUAUAGUGUUGUUUGUGCUAGUAAUAUUAGCUAAUGGCAUGCAAAUAUAUUCCUUUUUUGGGGUAUUUUCUAGGUCUUUUGGUUGUCAACCAUUAAGUACUACAAUACACUUUUCAUGGAGCUCAAAGAUUUCUUACUGAAAGAAUUCUUGAGAGUUAUGCUCUGGAAGCAAUGUGGCAUGGAAAGUAAAUCCUCACAGUUCAAUUUAUCUCUAAUGCUAGGUGAUGUGCAAGGAUCAUGUGACUGAGAAGACUGAGUUGAUCAAUGCCUUAAUCAAGGAUAGAAAACUUUCGGAUCUUCCCAAAAUAACUCAGGUGAUUCUAUCUUCUUGUACCAAUGACUUCCCAUAUGAUACAAAGGGAAAACUGGAUGCUACUUUAUAGCCUAAGCAAAAGCCUAAAGGUGCUUUUUGUGUAUUCCAUGGCUGCAUAAUUUUCCCCCAUUAUUGAUUUUACUUUGUUUUUAUCAAAUGUGUCCCUAAAAUUGUAUCUUUCUUUUUAUGCAGCCAACCUUGAUAAUAUGGGGAGAACAAGAUAGAAUAUUUCCAUUAGAAUUGGCUCACCGAUUAGAAAGGUACGGUAAGCAUAUAAUAGAUACAACUUUUCUUCAGAGACUGUGCGGCAUUAUCGGACAAUUAUUAUCUAAAAAGAAUGAAUCAUUUGAAAACUACAGGCAUUUACAGGAGAACUCGCAACUAGUAGUUAUCAGGAAUGCUGGGCAUGCAGUUAACCUUGAGAAGUCCAAAGAGCUCUGCGAGCAUAUAAAGGCUUUUUUUCUUAAUUUUUCUCUCAAAAGUCACAAAAAUCAGAUGGUAUGGUGGAUUUAUUCUCAAGAUAUAUUUUGAAUUAAAUAAAGUUAAUGCGUAACUGCAAAUGCUUUCACUUUGUGUUCUCUCUUUUUUUUUCUUUUAAUGCUUUAAACCUUAAUACAAGCAUUUUGACAAGUGCUUCAAUUUAAGAAUUUAAAAUUCUAAGCACAAUACCAGAAAAAAACUUCAAUGGGAAACUGCCUAGCAACUUUAUGAGAUAUGAACUAAACAAAUUGAGUUUCCUGACAUUUUCAGAGAAGUUGCUUAUUCUGUUUCUUUGGAUAAACAUAGUGUUAUGGAACGAGGUGGAAAAUCAUAGUUAGAUUUGCUGAUUUGAGCAUAAGGAGGCUUGCUUCUAAACUUCCACUGCUAGUACGGAAAAAGACGUGGAUAAAUCAGGUUAAUGUAAGAGAAAUUCUUCUUUUUUUGUUAUUGUUUUUCUGAGUUACAGAAGUGUGGCAGGGGAGCAGUAACUUUGAAAGGAAGCCUAAUCAUUUCAAAUAUUUAUAUGAAUGAGAAUCAUAUGAAAUUUUACUCUUUGCAGAUAAAGAAGUUUGAAAAAAAUAUAUAUGAUCCAUCUGCACGUCAAUAUAUUUGUGCCUGUGAUUCGUAAUGCUUACUUGCUUUUUGGUAUUUUAUAUAAAAGUUAUUGUUUACAUAAGGUACUGUAUUUUUCUUUUUGUAGAGAAGAUCCCAAAGACCAUUAACGACCCAAAUAGAGUGGUGCCUGCAACCUUGCAUAACCAGAUAGUGCACAGAUGAGAGAAAUGAGAAUUUAUAUAUAUGACAAAUUGAUUUAAGAACUUUGCCUAAAGGUCAUGAACGUACAAAAUGUUAUGUGAUCUCUUGAUUUAUUUGUGCCAAAUGUGGUUUUUUAGAAGCUUACACAUGCAUCUCAAAUUUAAAAUCUUAUUUUGUGACAUUAGAGUUCUUAACGUGAGCUACUCAUGGUUAAUCGUAAAUUUUAUACCAAAUAAGACAUAAAAAGGACAUAUUUCAAAGUUAGAAAUCAAGUGUGUUAGCUGGGCAUUUCAGAUAAAAUACGCAAGGUUAGAUCGAUAUCUUGAACUGCAACAGCAACAGAGCAAGGUUUCCCAAAGAACCAAGAAAGUAUUUCUUGUAAAGUGUUUGAAUAUAAACAAAUAGCAUCAAUAACAAUUUCCCAUUUGCUUGGUGGAUCUGCAAUAAACAUAUAAACAAAUUUUAGAGACGACAAAUCAUAAAUUUUUUUAGCCUGAAGAUUGGAAACAAGAAAAAAGAGAUUAACUGGAAAACUAGUCAGAAGUGCUUAUAAGCGAAUGCCAGUGGGUGAGCAACAUCCUAGGGUGUUUGUUGUAUUCUAGUGAAAAAUUAUUAUGAAGUUCUAAAGUUUCAUUUAUUACAUCCAGCUAGGUUAACCUGCCAUUUUAGGAGUAUUCACUUAAAACAACACUUUUCUGGGAUGCCUGGAUUCUUUCUCGCACAAUUUUUUCUCAUCAUGGUGUCCAAGAUAACAAUUGCACUAGUAAGCUAGCGUCAUGCUCCUUUUAGACCUCUGCACAAUUAUAUCUACGCUAUUUUGUUAUAUCUGGAUAUGCCUAUAUGAUCAAGACUCAACCCAAGCACACUAAGGGCACCAAAAUCAAAAUUCUAAUAUUUACAUAAACUGGUCUCCACAGAUGAACUGAAAAGUUUCUUUUAAUGUGACUUUUUAACAAAUUGCUGCAGGUGAUGUUUUGCAGUCUAUCCAUUGAGUUUUGUCAGGCAACACUAUGAUAUUUCAUAAUUUGAAUUAAAUAACCAUGUAUACACAUAAAGAAAUAGACAAAUAUUUGAUGAAAGAUCUCAAAAUUCAAAUUGGAACUAGUUUUUGACAUAUUCUGAUGUUUAAUUUCCGCCUCUUUUGUUGCAGGUGUAAUAUAAUUAAUAAGUGAUUAUUUUUCAUGAGCAUAUGCUUGUGCGAACAUGAGAUCUAGAGUCCAAAGAGCACAAAUCUGCUGUACAUAAAUCCAAAAGAAUAUCAUCUGUGAAGACAGUAUUGUUCAUGCAGGGCCGCCGGACGUUUUAUAAAGUCAUCGUAAACAGCCUGCUCCUUAUCAUGCUCCAGACGAAAAAAAAAGAGGCAGGUGGGAGGCUUGUGGCACAUACUGGAUGGUGCACAUUGAAACUGAUUCUCUCUAGAAUUUUUCUAUUACCAUCUUGGUGUGCAACUUUGAUCUAUUGCCAUUGCCAUUCAAUACAGGAACUUCGGUUCGUGCUAGGUAUAUUCUAUCUUCUUUCUUCUGUGAGUCUAUGGAUGUACUCUAGUGAUGUUGGUCUUUUAGCGAGCAAAAUUGGCCGUGCAAGAAGAAUCAUGUCGAGGAGAAUAACAGAGCUUCAGUUGAUGUCACAUAACAAAGAAGAAGAGGUGAAAAUCCUUGGCAGAACGUGGCUAUCGAAAAAAAUGAUCAAACAGUAUUUCCUUUUCUUUUUCUUUUGGCAGUCUGUCCAUUAAGAAUAACACAGUUGUGGGAAGUGUUUCCUUUGUUUUAACUUGCCUCUUAGGUGGGCCGGUUAAUAUUUCCAGCCUAAGGACAUUAGGUCUCAGCAGUCAGGAAGACUAAUCUUUCCAAAUUCCUUGAGGUACUGCUGAAUAAAUAUUUGCCAUGGUUCCAUCCAGCUCUAAUUUGCAACAGCAGCCAUUUAGGUUGCUAGCACUGAAAGAUCCAAAGGAAAUCAGUUUGCUACCAAAACGAAGCAUGCGGACCUAUCUGAAAACAAAUGUCACACCAGAAAAUAAAGAGAAAUCAUACUCCACUGCAAGAUAUCUAAAACCAGGAUCACUGCAACAGGCUCCCAUAAUUUAGUUUGCAGUUUGGUUUUUUUUUUUCAACAUGAACAGGUCAGAACAUUGUGGGUGAGGGAACCUUAAUAUAUGCAAGAAAGCUGUAAAUAUACAUCGAUCCAACUCAAAAGAAAAGAAAGGCACUCUUCACUUUCCAGCCUCACAAGAGCCACUAGUCUCCCUCACUAGCAGCAGUACAGGGGCCUCAACCAAACACCUUCCCUUCGUACAGACCAACUAUUCCUGCCAAAAACCACCACUCAGUUCAAGCGUAUACAAAAAUUUGGUAUUAAGGUGAUGUUGCUAUAGAUCCGCAUUGUAAUUAAAACUGAUCCAUGUGAGAUCAGAUCAAAUUUAAAUGAAGAUCAUUCAAUCAGAGGCCACACACGAGCAGCUCAUCAUCCUGGAGAAUCAUGCAAGUAAUUCAAAAAGAUGCAUUUUGUCGACGAGCUUCUAGGAUGAAAGUAUGCUGCUUUAUGGAAUGGAAAAUAUAGACUUCCCUCACAAAUUCCAUACUCUGUAUAUCCUACUUUAGUAGCAACCAGUUUAUCAUUUUCACUUAGCUUUAUUAUAAUGUGGAUCUUGAACAAUGUAAAAGAAUAUCUGGGGAAUGGACCGCCUGCAAAAGCCUUACCUCCAUAUCGUUGCUAGUGCCCUUCGAUUGUUCACCUGCAAAAUGGAACAUAACCUCCAUAAACAAGAUUUGGAAAUAAUGAAAAGAAACAACAUUUUAUGAUGAGAAGAGAUUAGCCAACAAAAGGCAGGCAUGUAAGUUUAAGCCGAUGAUGUCACAGCAAAAGAUAUUUGGAAAACAAAUACAAUGAUCACAUUCAAUUAUAAUAAAAGGUUAAACCGAUCAACAUCGAGUUUGUAACAAGUCAACAUAAACCAUAUAAUAGGAAUGUUGCCGAACUCAUGGGCGAUUAAAGCUAGCAUGAUCUCCUCUGCAUCCUACGUUCAAUCAUGAUAAAAGGUUAAACUGAUCACAUAGAGUUUGUAACAAGUCAACAUUAAUCAUACAAUAGGAAUACUGCUGAACUCAUGGGUGAUUAAAGCUAGCAUCAUCUCCUUUGCAGCCUAAUGGAAUAUUAACAGUAGAUAAGGGAAUUUUCUUACUGUUUGCACCUCCCCCGGGAAUUUUCUUACCGUUCACACCUCCCCCCCACCCCCAAACACA